ACGACUUUUUCCAAGAUGGCGGAUCUGUAUAUCAGUCUGUUGCCCCUACCUGCUGCUUCUCAACUGUUAACUUGCCGCCCACACAGCUACUGCUUAUUUUAGUUUAAACAACUCGUUUAGUCGCUAGUUUCACCCCCAAAUCGUUUAGGGAUUGUGGCUGGUGUGAAAAUAUCACACUUGUGCUCUAAAUGUUGAGCUGUCGUUUUGUUGUAGUUUUAUCUUAUCGUGUAAUGUGUUAGCUUACCUGUCGGCUUUAGCAGACGGUCCGAGCGAAUGAAUGGUCCUCAAGUCGUACAGAGGAUUGGAUAACAUCAGCAACUUUUCAAACGGAUCUAUUCACAUAUGCUGGGAAGUUUUCCUGACUCCACAAAGUAAGUUUUAAUUUUCAUUUUAAUGCUGAAUAUCACCUGUUUCUGUUUGUGUGCAAUGUUAGCGGUAUUAUGUAAAUUAAUCAUUUGAGUGGCUUGCUAGCUGCUGGCUUCAUUUUUGAGGUUGUUUGCAUUUUUUAUUUGGUGACAUUUUUGGUAUGAUUAACGGGUUGGCUGGUGAGAAAAGUGCUUGUGUCAGCAGUGGAUGCACUUUAAUGCAAAUUUAAAAUUAUAACCUGGUUGCUGCUGUUUGUAAAAGUUUACUAUUGAGGGAUAAACACCUGUAAUGUAAUGCAAUGCAAUGCGAUCCAAUACUACUGCUCCAUCGCUAGUUUCAGUUCCGGGAGGCUUUUACCUGCUGUUUUGAUUGACUUACAGGCGACUGCUUUACUUUGUAUAUCAUAAAAAAACUUGGCUAUGGUGGUUGUUGUUGAGUGUGAUGUAUUACAACGCGGUUCUUAUAUUUUGUCCACUUCAGUUACACAGUAACACGAGGAGAGCAAAAUAUUAGGCACACCUGAAAUUUAAAGGGCUCCAGCACAUCACCAACAUCCACUACAACUUUAACAAUUAAUUUAAACAGCAGUUAUCAUCUGUCAACAGAAAUUUGAAAAUAUAGAAUCUUUGUAAAAGUAGUGUUUAUUGUAGAGCUGAUGUAUUGGCUUGCAUUACAUUGCCAAGGUGUUAUGGCUAGUUGGUGUCUCUGUCACAGGUUAUUAUCAUAAUUAAUAUUUGCUUCAUGAGAAGAAACUGUUUGCCAUUGAAGAAGUGGUCACAAUGGUACAUUCCCCACACAUCUUCAUAUUCAGGGUCCAGCAUAGAAUUAUUUAAAGUCUUCAUAUACUCCUCGUCUUAUCAUAAUUACAUCUAAACCGCUGAGCUCCUGUUUGACACUGCUGCGUCAGUCAGCCACACUCAUUGUCAGCCUUAUUUCCAUGUACUGAUGGCCAUCUGCUGCUUAUCUCUGUAUUUAAUAUGAGGAGAUUGUCUGUCUGCCUUCUGCCUGAGGUCUUGUGGUUUUAAUAUGUAUAAGUUCAUAAUUACCUGCUGCAUAGAUGAUGUGUCUAAGCCUGCUGCAUAUCCUGUGGUUUGCCAGGAUAUCCAUUGCGAUUCAAAAUGAAAAGUAUAUCCCCCUCAUGGUGUCCUGGAUCUGGCAGAAGAUGCAUCUCACGUAUGAUCAAUUUUGCGAGAUGAUAGUCUUAAAAAAUCCGCUCAUAACUUAAGAACAUUUCCUCUGCUGUGUAGACCAGUACCUUGCCUGAAGGUAAAUCAAAAUAUGUAUUUUUUCUGACACUAAUAGUCGAGUUAUUUAUUUUAGGAGAGGCUGAGAAACUUUGCUGAAAAUACUUCAGGAAACACAUUUUAAAAUGAAUGCGUACCUGUUAGAUGAGGUGGAAAGAAAAUCUUGAGAAAGAAAAUCUUUAUUAAAUUAUUGAUUGUGAAAUUAUUGAGUAGGCUUACUUAACUAAUUGAGUACAGCACCAUCCUUUGGCAUGUGGAUGGUAAUUUGGUUUCAAAAAGUUUCAAAUAACUCAUUCUUUGUUUAAAAAAAAAUCAUAGUUAUUCUGCUGCAUUUUGACUUUAUUUGACUAGUUGUUUGGUUUGUAAAGUUUUGUAAAGUUGUGAAAACGCCAGCACUAUUUCUCAGAGGUCAAAGUGACAUUGUCAAGUUGCUUCUUGUGUCAAAUCAGAAGUCCAAAACCCAAGAUAUUAACUUAAAGUAGAGAAUCCUUGCAAGUCAAAACAGGAAGAUUUUGUUUUGAGAGUUUGAUUUUGCUUGAAUGAUUAGAAAAACAAGUAACCAGUCAUCAAAAUAUUUAUCAACUGAAGUCAGUCAAUUACUGGCUUUCUUCGUAGAUUGAUUUAGAGCUGCAGCUCUAAUCAUUAUUGAAAUACCAAUUUGUUUAUUUAACCUGGAUAUUAAUUUUCUAACUACGUUUCAAGAAGCGAAAUUCACUGCAGUAAGUUCAUGCAGUAGUGUUUACUGUGCUGCUCUAACUGGCUGCAGCUACUGCUGCUCUUUUGUGGAAUUUCAUAAACCCCUCCAUCAGCCCAGCAUCCACCUGUAGGCUGUGAGUCUGACUUCCCCCUGGGGGGAGUUUAUUAUCGUCACUCCCCAGUUGCUGCUGUGCAGAUGCUGGUGUUUGCUUGCAGGGAAUGACAAGUCUGACAACAAAUAUCAGCUUUGAACAUGUUCUUUAUUCCAGAAUUAAAUCUGUCAUACCAGAGUUUGCUGCUUGGAAAAUGCUGACCUUUAAAGCAACAGUGAAGGACAAUUUAAAGGACUGGAGCAACAAACGCUCAAAACCCUGAUGAAAACAGGCCAGUCUAGUGAUAUCCUUUCUAUUAUACUUGUUCUUUGAGGUGGCAACUCACCACAGGAAUUUCUGUGAGAUUUUUUCAGUUUCAUCUUGAUAAAAUUGUUGUUUUAUUUAUUUGCAGUAUUUGAUUUCAGUGACCACAUAGGACAACACUGUCAUGAAAACUUUGACCAAAGGCUGUGAUAUCUGAUGCCGCUAAAACUGAAGAAAACCAAACACCCCAAAAUGGCAAAUGAAGCAACACACAUUUAGUCUUUAAACAGAUUUACAGAACUAAAGAACUACUAUAAAGUUUGUAUUAUAAAAAAAAAUCCUCAAUAAAAAGCAAAAAGGGGCAUCUUUUCAGUGCUAAAUUAGCAUCCCUUUGCAUCUUUUCACUGCUGUCUGACAUCCCUCAGUCUUCUUCUGGUAGUAGCAGCUGUUAAUUGGUCCUUGGCCAAUUAACUGCCAUUCACAUUCCCAUCAGUGAUGUCAGAGGCAACACAGUGAGGAGUCACAGAGUAGCAAGUAAGUGUGAAAUUAGCUGGAAAAUCUAUUUAGAUUGAGACGUUUAUUCCAAGUUAAAUAUUGUUUCUUAACCUUGGCAUAUCAAGAGUUGAUCACAUAAGUCUUGUGGUCCUCUUGUUCUUUUAUUUUUCUUCAACUCAUGGUUUCCAUGACAGUAUCUUACUUCCAUGUCAAACGUAUGCCUCUUCAUACUAGUAUCACUCCUCUCAUUUGUAUCUUGACACAGUCAUGGGAAAAACGGGAGUGCUGAGUGGAUUCGAGCGGUUGCAGACACAUUUGGUGUAUCUCUGUGAGGAUGAGGAGCCUGAAAAAAAGACAAACAAACAGACACCGAGGAUACUUGGGCAUUAUGGGCACCGAUCCUCAUUAUCCAGCCAUAGCCUGCUCACUGAGCACAUGUACGUACAUGAUUGGACUUGCCCUUCCAUUUCACUUGCCACACUGCAAAUCGCUGCCACGUUGGCGGGUUCACUUGGUUUGGGCCAUGGCAUGCUAUUAGGGGGUUAUUUGUAUAAUUUACCACUUCUAAUUCCAUGGCUCAGCCAUAUUGGCAGGAACAUUCAAGACUAAAUUGAGUGUGAAGAUUGAGAGGAAUUAAUGUCUGCUGGACUGUGAGCUGAAUGCGUGCCUUCAGUGGGCCCUCGGCCACCACAAGGACAAGAGUGUGAGCAGGAUUUGUACGUUAAAGGUUGACUUAGCAAAGUCAAUAAUUGAGCUACUCUGUGGGACUUUGUCUGCCCCAAAGCAAUCAGCCAUUCUUUUUUGUUGGAUGAGAGGAGAGCGGCGAGCAAUCAAAUAGGACUAUAAGGCUUGUAAAGUGGAACAAAAACAAAAACUGAAAGGGAAUUUAUUUUCAAAGGAAGUUUAAACAAUGUUUCAGGCGUCUGAAAAAAGCACUGCUUUGUGCAUGUGGUCAGAUAUAACUAGUUAAUGCUAUAUUUCUCUGUUCUCUCAUCAAGUAGUCCUUUUCAAUUUAUCUUGUAAUUAUGAAUUUAUUGGUUUUAAGAAUACAGUCAGGGCUUUCUGAGAAUAAAAUACAACAGCAACAAUUUCCUUAAUUUACAUAAACUAAUUUUCUCUGUUUCUAGGCAUCCAUAAUAGGUUGAUAAAAGAUUGUUUAUUCGCAAAACUUUAUUAUAUUUUUAAAUUAAUUCAAUGGAGUUGUCUUACUAAAUAUAAUUGACAAAUUUCCUUGAUUUUAAAGGGUAGCCAUACUGUUUAGAUUUUCUGACCCUUUUCUGAUGGCCUGAAGACACAAUUCUUCCGAAAUAUACAAGCUUCAGGGUAAACAGGCAGAGAUUGUGGUUGACAGAGCAGAGGCUGUGCAUUUAAGGAGUGAAUGGACUGUUUAGACCGUAAUCUUGAAACUAAAUUGGUCAUGAGACUGGAUGAGUCAGGAUCUGUGUGAUUCAGCUCAGCGGGGGACAUUGAUUGAGAAGAGAUUUUACUAGCGAGACAAAAGGAUCAGUCGGUCACAGCCGGGCGGAGAUGAGAGAGGGAAAAGUCACUGCUGCACCGUCGGUCUGACACCAGGCUGAAGUUAGUUUGAUAAGAGGGUCUGCAUUGACUUUAAAUUAGUUUUAGGUUGGAUAUGGCAAAGCUGGAUUUAUAUCUGUGCCUCCUCGUUGUUGCAUCCGUGACUGUGAUCAGACAGAGUUAAUGAUAUGGAGAUUAACUUAGUGAAGGCUGCAAUUCAGGGCGAACCAAUGUCCUGCUGUUUGUAUGAUGUGAACUCAUUAACUGUAUCUAUAAUGAUGGCUCAGCAUGAACUGUCCAAUUUCCCUGUAAGUGUAUAACGCAAAAAUGGUUGGUGGUAUUAAGUUACUGAAAAAUGUCUACAUUCUCAUUGAAUUUCUAAUAUAUUAUAUAGUGUAUUCAGAUUUGACACAUCACUAAGGAAAUGUGACCUGUGCCCUCCUUGACUUCAAGCUUUAAUGAUGGAGCCAGAUUUGACUGAGCAACAAGAAGAUUUAGCUUUUGGCUGGAGUAUAUACUGUUGUUUUUUUAAGCAUACCAUUUAAGUAGAUAAGAUAUGGUUGUCAUGGUGAAUUAAAAUCUCACAUCUCGGACAAACAAGCAGAGCUAUACUUUGCACUGAAAUCCUCAGAGGGAUUAGGGUGCAGGGGAUGUGCAUGAUAGGUCAACUGAACACCUAAGCUUAUCCUUUUGUCUGUUAUUUUUUCAAUCUACUCCUGCGUACUACCCAAAAUACCUCCUCACAGCACUUGUCAGUUUUGGUGUUGUAAUUGGCGGCUCAGUGUGACCAUGUCCUCCAUUUCUGUAGAAUAGCAUUACCGUAUUAGUUUAGUGAGAGUGCACAGAUCAGUCAGGUUACAAUGUGAGCGCCCUCUGCUGGAUCGUUCAGCAAGCUACUUCAGGUGGCCAGAUGCGCUGGUACACUGUCUUAUGAGUUUGGACGGCUCAUUACAAUUUGCAUAUGAACUCUCCCCCCGGCGGUGCUAACUCUGCUUUAGUUAGCCAUGCACAACAAAUCAAUCUGACAUUGUCUGCCAGCAGACGCAGGCUGUGGUAAAUAUACUGUGCUCAGUGUUGAGUGCUUUCUGAGUGUUUCAUGUCAAUUAUUAUUAUUAAGACUAGUCUUCUUUUCUUGGGAUGAGUGCCUGCUUGAGGCUGACUACAAAUGCACAAGAAGCCACGUAUGCAUCCAUCCCAAAAAAAAGUUAAGAGCAAAAACAAUCAUGUUUGGCUGUGUCCAAAAAACAGUUUUGUUGUGGGAGGAUGGAUUUUUCAUCAGUCUCUAGUGUUGAAGAUACUGAGACUUUGAGUUUGGAAGCAUUAGCACAGAUUGACAGGCGGCACUGUAGCUGUCAACAAAGUCAAGUCAGCAUUUCUAGUAUGGGGCCACUGAUAAUUGGCUUCAAAACUCCAUUUCAGAAACCAAUAGGUGACAUCGCUGGGCCUCUAUCCAUGUUUUAUACAGUCUAAUGUUAGUUAUUUGUAUGUGUGUGGUGUUUUGACAGUUAUCACCAACAACAUAUUUCAUAAAAACACCCAAAUCAAUUGUGUUGCCAAAUGUUUCACUCAAUAUCCUGUUAUCACAACAGGUGACCUGCGCACGGACGAGGCCUGCCAUUGACAGCACAUUUAUCAUCGAUUCAAAACUAAGAUAAUGCAAAAUGACAAAGGCAGCAACUUUUAAAACAGCAGUUGGAAAAAGGUUUAUAUUAACAUGAGAGGUCACACCUCAAUCAAUGCAUUUGCAGGAGGGAUGGACUGAGGAACCUCUUCUGUCUUGUUCUGAUCACCUGCAGAGCCUGUGUCAGGUGCUGCAAGUUUAUCGGACAAGAGGAGCAGAGAGCGACAAGAGAUCACCUCAUUCAUUGAUUGCAGAAGGAAAUCUUAUAUCGUAAAGAAAAAGGUCAAAGUAAAAUUGAUCUGCGAAUAAGACUUGGGUUGCAGGUACCCUGUAUGUGGAAAGCACUGAUAUCUUUUUAAGAGAAAGGAACUUCUGUGAAUAAUUUCACUCUUUCAAGCAAUUAAAAACCAGCAAAAAUGUAAGUGGCAGCAGCUUACUUGAGUUUAGAAUAUUGUAGUACACUGAGAUUUUGUCCUUCCUUAUUGGGGAAGGAAGAUAUCUUAACACCACUUUAAGUAUGAAACUAGUGAAAGAGUUCACAGGCUUCCUUGACUUUGUCCCUGCUUUUUUCUUUUCACUGUUAAUGGUGCUUAAAAAACUAACUCCAGAAUGUCAAGUGUCAAAAUGCAAGUAAAUGUGUUUUCUCCUCAAUGUAGAAUUGAACUGUAGACUUAGAGGGGCAGUUCUAUUCAUGGUGCUGCAACCCUCUCUAGCAUUAGAAUAAUAAAACACUCAAAUGUCCUCUGACACAGUGAUUAUAAGCUGUAAAGUCAAAGACUGUUUGAUUUACAGAUCUGCAGACUAGUGGUGUUAGACCAAAAGAGUCACUUUGCUUUCUAUGAGGUGUUUUUCUUUUAUCAGAGGGAGAAUGUCUGCUUGGAGUUUUUUUUCAUUUUGCUUCAAAAAGAGUUUAAAGGCAAAUAGCAGGUAACUUACAUUAGUUUCCCAAAGUUACCCAUAAUGAAUGAAAGUGACUGUUGCAUAUUAAGUGCGCUGAGCCUUGUUCAUUGGAUUCCCGAGAGAAAUUGAAGUGAGAAAUAGAUUGCAAACAUUCCCAUUACCUCUGCUCACAGCCGGCUUUGUAAAUAGAAAAUCUUUACAGCUUCAGUGUGAUGACACAGUGCUUUAUCAAUAAAAAAGUGCUGUGCCUCAAUGACAGAGAAGUGAAAGGACUUUUCUGCAGGUUCCACUAUCCUUGUUUGACUCUUUGGCAUUGACAGUGUUAUCUGUUCUGUGAGAUUCAUUAGGUUGACCAUAAAUAUUUGAUCCUCUAAUGAAAAUACAGUGCUCCUUCUGGUAGAUUGUGACUGAAAUCCCAACAUACAGUGGUUUUAGUGUGUAUGUGUCUGCUGAUAUGAAAGUUGUUUUCAGUUGCAGAAACAAAACUUUGGAUUUAGAUAAGGUGUUUUCAUGUGGUUUGUCCAAAUAGAGCAUGCUCCAACUCCGUGGUUUAAAAUGCUUUCAGAACAGAAGAGGUCAAUCAAUUAAUCAAUAGUUAACCAGCGCCAGUUUCUAAAAGUUAUAAUCUCCAGACACUUGACUAAAAGAUAUGGUCCAGUCUGACUUUUUAUUCUGAUAUUUACAGAGACCCAUUACUUAUCAACCUUUAGUAGAGCACUUUGCAGCAUUUAAGAAGUAACGCGCGAGGAAAAAAUGUACCAGGCAAAAAUCUCCAGCAGCACCAGACUUGAGGUGAAAUACUGUCCUCUCAAGCCAAGUUCAUAUAAUACCAAGUAUAACAGAUCACAAGCACGGCUGUAGCCCAGUCUGGCAGAUGUAGGGCUUUGUAUCCUUAAAUAAUUUGACAAAUAAUUGAAUCAAUCAGACGUCAACAAUUGCACUCUGAUUCAGAUCAAAACAAGCGAGUUGAGAUCGCCUUCAGGAAGUGGCCUCGGCUUAUUUUCAAUUGAUCCAUAGAGCAUUUGGUUUCACUCAUCAACCCAGCUACUAGAGCUAAUGCAGGAAUACCGCUGCAAUGCUGUUUUGAUUGUAAUAGUCAGCGUAACAAUAGGCUUACAUCACUCACCAUCUCCAUCCAUGAAAGCAGAGGAGCUGUUGCUAGGUGAGGGAACAUCACCGGACUCCAUAACGUGUGCUGGUUUAGAGAGCUUUGUCCAGCAGAUUGAAUCAGGGGAAUUCGUCCUCCUCAUAUUUGGGACUUCCACUAUAGCCAAGCUGGUCUUGUACCUUUACAUACUAGUGUUUGAGUUCUUCGGUCGUGGUGCCUCACUGCCUGGCAGAGCUGUUUAAGCAUCUCUCUGUCCUGCACUGAUGUUUGUGAGUUUGACAUUUAACAAAAAUCUUCAAAGGCAUUUAACUUCCUCCAAGUCAGCCAUGGGUUGUUUUAUCCGAGGUUAAUUGGGUAACAUUAGAAAUGCCCUGAAAGCUGGUAUUCCAGUGUAAAUGGUGACCUUGUCAACUGGCGACUUUAAGCUGAAUGUAUUUUACCUGAAUGCCUUCGGAUUUUCCUGAAAAUUAUGCCUAAUCAUAAUAUAUUUGCAUACAGCCUACAAUGUGUGGUUCAAACCACUGUGUAGUUUUGCAGUGUGAAGACAAAAGGAUUCAACAGAAAGGUGCAACAAUGCAGCACUGUUUUUUUCAUUUGAAUUGUAAAACAGAUGAACCACAGGUGUGACAACAUCCUUAGGUCUCUUGGCUUCUCAGGUUGGCAGGAGGGCUUCCUCCCACAGCUAUAGUUUCACUCUUUUCCUCCAUGUUUGCCCUUAUCACAUUUAAUGAAGUGGGAGUAAUCUCUGUAAUAGGAACUACUCUGUAUGUAUAAUACUGGUAAAGCUUAAAGACUCUCUUUACCACCCAUGUUGCUAUCCAUUUCAACAAUCUUCUCUCAUGUAAUAAAUGGCAUUUUAUACAGUGGAGGCAGCAAAUGGUUCUUUAAAGGCAAAGAAAUCUCAGCUUCAGGCAAAGUAACCAUUGAGCCACUGAUGCUGAUCAACCUUGUUACACCCUCCAAGAUAAAUGUUGGUCAUUAUGUGCUAUGCAGUUAUAAAAGUCCUGAUUAUUACAAUUUUGUGGAUUGAGUUCAACCUGUUUUUCAUCCAUUUAUCAUUCACCUGGGUCUAUUUUAACUUUCUGAAUUUUUGAAUAAGAGAAGGUGCAGUUGAAGUGUAAUAGCAUAACCGGGGGUCUUUUAAACAUUAAAUUUGUUCCAAGUGAUUUUUUUAUGCAUCAUCAAAGUAGAUUCUUGCUCGAAAGAGACGUUGCAACAAACUGUAAUCUCAUUCUGUUGGAGUGGUUUGUGUGCCACAGUGUCUCUAAAAGCAUUGUUGCUGCGAGCACAAGCGCCUGAUUUGGCCACCCGAGGCAAAGUGGUCUCAGCUCAUUGGCUGGACAAAUGAUAAUUCACAAAGUGCCCUUUGAUUAGUUUUAAACAUUUGGAGUUGGGACACUCGGGCCCCAGUCUCUGUUCUAUUUGACCUGCAAACAAAAUGAGAAAAUACAUCAUUUGGCAUUGCUUUGCAAAACAACCCAUAUGUGUGUUUUCUCUUCUGACGCCCCAGUCAGCAGGAAGUCUGUAUUUGUCUCCACCUUCCAAAACUGUUGUUGAUUCUUAUGACCCCUUUGUAUUUAAGUGACCAUUUGUUACUGCUCUAAAACUAAGCUAAGGACAUUAAAACUUCACACUUUGGAUGAUUAAAUGACUGCUCUGGGUUAUAAAGGUCAGAUCCCCAGACACAGUAACUAGGCUUUCCUCCAUGUUGUGUUGGCAGAUCUGUCCAGUCCCAUCAGGCAGAAAGUUCAGUGAAUAAGAAAAGUAUGCCCAAAUAACAGAGCAAGUGGUGCAUGUUGUAGAAGCAGUUUUAUGGUAUUGAUAACAACACUUAAUAGCUUCUGCCUGUAUGCUGAAAAUACAGGGACACUCUUGAAUAUAGAUUUACCAUAGGUAGUAUUGUUAUUCAACCAAAGGAGAAAUGCUGUCACUUUUCCGAGAGGACAGUCUUUUCAGAGAGGCUGCCAUAAUAAACAUAACAAUGCAGUGAGAUAUAUACAUUAUACCCCUGCUGCGUGAUUGUAGUGAUUACAUAAAGAUAUGCUGCAGCAUUGAUGGUUGUCCACCUGGCACACUGAUAUGAAUCACACUUCAUGCCCAAGCUCUGUGUCUGGCAAGGAACUGCACAACAGCUUUUUUAUUUUCUUUCUCCCAUUUGACUACAGAUAGAGUCUGCAUAAUUUGAACCCAUCUCCAUGCUGGAAAAGUAAACGAUGACAGUUUGAUAAGCAGGAUAGCUGCUUAUAUAAUCACAUUCAAGCUUGGAGUGAUUUAUUUAUCCAUACACACUAUCCUUAUUCAAUAAACAUAUUAAGCAAUUUUUACUGUGAACAGAUAUUAACAUUGCAUCAUUCUUGAUGUUUUCUGUCAUGUCUUCCUAUAUUCGUGGAUUAAUCUAAGUGGAAAAGAGGCAUUUAUAUUCCAUUUAAAGGCUCCAGUAAUCAAAUGUUUAAAUGAUCAAGUAUUUUCUUGAUUAUUCUGGGAAACUGAAUUUCUGAUAAAGGAUUAUCUUGUUAUAUACUGGGCCUGUGUAUUUGUACUACAAGUUCAAAAGACUAGCUUAUGAUCAUUUAUUCACAAUAAUAAAGUAUCUGUACAGCACCUAAAUGAAAAUUGGUCAAGUAGAUAGUGAAGAUAGAUAGGAUAACUGCUCUAAUAAAAAUCUGUGUGUGCACACAUGCCUUGUUACCACAGUCCAAAAUGUCUAGGUGGGCCCUUGCAAAGCCUGUUGGCACUGAACCUGGAUGCAAACACUCUACAAAAGCUGCAGGGAAACACAUCAUUGAUUUUAAUAUUGUAAGAAAAUUCAUAUCUGACACCUAACUUUAGUCUCAGAAAGGUGGUAUAAAAGGUGACACUUGUACUGGUGGAAGGAAGAGGAUUAGGCCUCAUUUCCACUCAAGUGUGUGUGUAUGGGAGCAAAUCAACAGGAAAUCCAUUUAUUCCUUUUUAAUUCUCCAUGAUUUAAGAUGUGCCAAUGAAACUCCUCCUUUCAGUAAUAUUUUAGUCUGAGAUCUAGGGGAGCAAGAGAAAAAAAAAGUGAUGAGAAGUAAGUCUAAAAGUCAAAAAGUGAAGGACUCUGCUGCUUGUGCUGGCUUUAGAUGGAAACAAAUGUGGAAUCAGCGAUGAAAAUCAAUGACUUGUCUUUGUGACUCUUUGGGUACUAGCUGGCGAACAGAUGAAGGGUAUUGGGUAUGUAAGGCUAUUCAGAGCUUUUGUGUGAUCGUAGUUCUCCACAAACAGAGUUUCAUGCACAGCCCGUGAAACACAGUGAGCUUUAUAGUCUGAAUUUAAAGGCUCAGGACAAAUAAUUUGCCUCAAGGCUUUUUUUUAUAAUCAAUAUACUGGAGUUAUUUGUGAAAUAUUUCAGCCUUAUUGUAUUUUGAUCUCAACAACGUUUUGUCAGUCCCAAAUACUUUUCCGACCUUGUUUGGUAUACUUGUACACAAAGUGAUCCUGAGCCUGGCUGCUAUCUGUAACAGCAGCAUUAUUACAUAAACGUUAUAAUGGGGUGGUGGUGCAUUUAGUAUCAUCUUACACUUUCUCUGUCAGCAAAUACGGAGGUUUAUAUGUAAUGUGAGUCAGCGUGAAUGCUCUUUUGCUGUAAAUGAUCUUGGUUGUACAUAAAACCCACUUUUUUUUUACUGUAAAGAGUAAAACAGGUCUUUGUAUCUACACACCAGCGGUCUAUUCAUCAGAGAUAGUGUGUUUUUGAGAAUUGUGUUUCAAGGAGAUUGAAAUAACACCUACAAAGACAUCUAUUGAGUGUGAUUGUACUGGAGCAGUAAACAAACUGUAAUGCUAUUCAAAUAGGACUCUCUCUGGUAGUCGAGCUCGUCUCUUAAGAAGGAACGUUUGUGAUGACGGACAAAGGCCACUGGUUUGUUUUUUCCCCUUUGCUCUUCCUUUCUCUCGUUUCUCCCUUGCCUUGGUGACAAAUAACCCAUUUAUCUUUAAACAUUUCAUCUAGGAAAUGUAAAUUUUGUCCCCUAAUCACACAAACACAGCACACAACUAUUGUGUCUUGUCAGUCUCAGUGUGCCCAGAUGUAUAGGCGUCCUUUGCCUUUGCACUCUCUGGUGCUUCGCUAUAAUUAUCAGACCAAAUGUUGGGUGGAUUGAGAUUUUGCAAAUGGACUUCCUGGGCUUUUGGCCUGAUUGGGUUUUUAAUGUCUGGAAAUGCUUAGAUGAGCAAAGACAACAGACAGAGUUCUCUACAUGCUGAUCAAACCAUAACGUGGCCUGUCAGGGAAGGCAAACACCCAGCAUAGCUCUCCCUUCAGUCCUUAGACACAGAGCCUAUAAAAUUCAAUCUCUGUCCUCAAACAAAAAGUCUUCUUCUACUUCUGUUUUUGACUUUCUUUUUGCUUCGAAGGAUUUAUUCCACUCAGACAUGGCACAAGACAUGUUUUAUUUAACAAAGUGGACUUUUGUAUUAGAUUAGUUGACCAAUUUGAAUGAUGCCGCACUGGCACAGUCAUAGUGGUGUCAUUUAGUCUGAAUUACAAUGCAGUGAUGUUGACAAAAGCCAUUUUGCAAGGUCACUUGUCAAAAGGGAUUUAAAGGAAACUCAAAGUGAUAGAUUGACCUCCUGGAGUAGGAAAUGAGAGGGAGAAAGCGAGGGGGGAGAGGCACACAUCACUUCUGCUCUUUCUGUAAACAUUACAGAAGGCAGAAAUGAUUGGCAUGUUUAUUUGGUGUUAAUGCAUUAACAGACAGCACAUCAGCCUUUUUUAACCACAAAUUAUAUGUGUAACUCAUUAUUCAAUGGCCACUAUAAAAUCCUAGUACUGAACUAAUUUAAUUUGCUACUGGUGAAGCAAUACCAGGCUGCACAUCUUAGGGUUUGGACAUUUUUGUCCUGACACACAAGCAAAUCAGGAGCUGGCUCCACAAUAAUUAUUUUAUUUUUCUCAGUUGUUGAUAAAUUUCACUUGGACGUAGAAAUGGGAACCAUUUCAUAAAAUUAAUUGCUAUUUGCCAAUGUGUGAGCAUUGGGAAAUUAGUUGAAUCGGUUGUCAGUCUGUUGACAACACAGUAUCCAUCAAUCCCUCAGUGUGAUUUUGAGUAUUUAUCAAACUGUUGACUGACAACUUGAUCAGAAGUACACAAAGAAUUUCACCCUUGAAUUUGAUUAUUUGAUCCCUUUAACAUUUUAGAUCUUUUUGUUCUUUAUUCUUUGUUAAGAUGUCAAUUUUUGCAAUUGAUUGUUGUUUUUUGAUCAGAAAGUUGAUUGAUUAAAUGACAAAAUAAUCACCAGACUGUAAAGUUGUGAAAUUAAAGCUCAAACCAAAAGUCUGGAGUACACCACAAUGGUAUAUUGGCCUACCUAAGACACAGCCAGUGUUUUGGAGUGUCCUAGAGAACCAAAGGUUUGAGAUGCUUUCUGUAUUUAGUAUUAUUAAAAUUCUGAUUGGUUGACUCAGUUUUUUUUCCGCGUCAAUUUACAGUCUAUUGUUAAUUUCUUUAGGAGGAAUGUACCAAGUGCUAAUGAGGGUGUUUUCAGAGCUCCUCCGUUUCAUAGGUAACAGCCUGUCUCAGAACACCCCACUUGUUUUCACCAUUUUGGAUUCGCCCGACCCACUGGAGACUGGCUGGAGACAAGAGACAAGAAGACCCUCCCACACCCCCCAUCGAUUUUCAGGGUUUUAGUCGACUAAGAAUUUCUUUGGUUGAUUACAGCUCCACAACAAAGUCUACAAUGUGCAGUUCUAGUGCAACUGUUAGGCUUCUUGUCUGGCAUCAUCAAACCAGCACUCCACAAGAGUCGUGCAUUAAAAAGUAUACCACUCCCUUGUUAAAAUGCAUAGUGACAAGCAAAUAAGUGAGGAAAUCUGCUCUUAAGUGGCUCUGCUAACCUGGGCUGCAUGCUGGUGCAGCAGUUAGCGCUGUUGCCUCACAGCAAAAAGGUUCCUGGUUUGAAUUCCCAGCUGGGUCUUUCUGUGUGGAGUUUGCAUGUUUCUCCUGUGCAUGCAUGGGUUCUCUCCAAGUGCUAAAGCUUCCUCCUACGAUCCGAAAGCAUGCUUGUCAGGUUGAUUGGCGACUUCAAAAUGCCCUUGGGUGUGAGUGUAAGCAUGAAUGGUUGUCUGUCUCUGUAUGUCAGCCCUAUGAUAGACUGACAACCUGUCCAUGGUGUAUCCAGCCUCUCGCCCAGUGACAGCUGGAAUAGGCUCCUGCUACCAUGCAGGAAACGGAGGUAAAGAUAAUGGUUUCUAGACUUGUCUUCCUUGCUAUGCAUCCAACAUUCUUAGACAGCAUGUUGGAUACAUAUUCAGGUCUGUGUGUAAAAUACCACAGACCAUAUUUUGAUGCUGCUCACUUUUUAGGAAACAAACAAACAAAAAAGGAUCAAAAGUGCAUGCUGGGUUUUAUAGUAAUCAAUUUUGUCAACUGCUAGAAAUGUGGUUGUCAUCUCUUUUGGAAACUGAUGCUCAUUUACGUCUGUUUCAUCUGAAAAUACCAAACCUUUUGAGUGUUCAAACGUAUUUAAUGCUAAGUUUGUUUACAAUUCUAGCCUUACAACAUAAUAAACCAAAAAUCGAGGGUUUUGAUUCCAUCAAAUAUGAUCAAAAUCAAAGUACAAGAUCUCAUUAUAUGUCUUUGAGGUGGUUGCAACUUUGAUACAGGUUUUUGAUGACAAAUUAAAAAGACUUAAUGAUAAAUCAAGUUCAUUACUGGCAGAUCAAGCUCUAGAACAUCAACCUAGCUCUGCAUCUUUGCAUGCAUGGCUUGUUUCAGUGUAAGUAAAUUGCUUGUGUAAACUGGAAAAGCACAGCAGUCAAGGCUUAACUGCAGCAGCAGUGAAAUGAAUUGAAAGAAAGGAGAAAGAAUGAAUUCUGGCAAGCUAAUUUGCACUAUGUGGUCUGACUGCAAGGGGUAGGAGGAUACGUAUUAAGACUGAGGCCAGUAAAUUAAGCUGAUUCUACUUACUCUUGGUUCUUCCUACACCCGGCUUACGGCUCUUUUUCAUGAGAACAAAGUCUAGUUUGUCCCUGGCACUUGUCUCACUUGCCUCUCAUCCAUUCUAGGAAGGCAUUGGAGCUAUUCAUCAAGGGCACGGUCAGCGUUCAUCAGACAGCCGAUUAUUCCUCUAUUCUCCCAUCCCUGUCCUUCUCGUUUGAUUUCCAUCAGUGGGGUCUUGUGUUCUCGCUCUCUCUGCCCCCCUUAAUUAGCCUCCAAGCAGCCACAAAGAGAAAGUUGUGAUAAUGAAGCAGGCAGAGGAGAGAUUCCAAUUUAGAGUACAGCUAACCCUAGACGCACGAUUUUACUGCUAAUUCAUCCUCCCAAGGCCACACUGGAAGUUUCACUUUAACAGUCUGUAAAAUGUAAAGAUUUAAACAGAAUCUGCAGCCAUAAAAACUUAUAUAUUACAACAUAAAUUAGGCUCAGUAUUCUGGAAACACCUCAUAUCUAAGUACUGCUCUGCAGUGAGUGAGAGUGCUGGAAGGGAAAAACUGUAAGUCAUAAACUGAUGAUGAGACAUCCAAUCUCGAUUGUCUCUUACAAUUAUAAAACAUUAAAAAGGCAAAAACCAAUAAGUGUUUACUGGGUCUAGCUUCACGAAUUUAAAAGUUCAGUAAAUGAUGAAGUCCUCUGUCUGUGUUUCAGUAUUAUCAGUGAAAAAUAUAAUGAAAAUCUCUUGGUUAAAAACCUAUUUUUCAUUACAGUCACUAAACUAAAGAUCAAUAAAAAUCCAUCCAUUAGUAAUGAUCAGCCAAUAUAUCUAAUCCUGAUAGGAUUUGUGAGGGACUUGAGCCAACUCAGGCUGAGAGCAAGAGAUACAGACUGAUUAUCUUUGAAGUAACCCAAUGAAAACAUAUUAAGCCUCUUACACACUUACAGUUUAAAGCUGGACAUUUACACCCUGUUAGGACUCAUCUAUAAUGUGUAAAGCAUAGAGGCAGAACACAGGAGCAAAGCUGUCAGAAGCACUGAUAAAGGCACAAUGUUCAAGUCCUAGUGAGGGGUCGGGAUGUGCUUGUUUAGAUGACUAAUGUAUCAAAUAUUAUCACCCUAGGGUUAGACAAGUUAUUGGUGUUUUUACAAUUUUUAUUUUAAUUUUUAAUGUAUUUUUCUAAAUAAAUAAGUUGUGGGAAUACUGUCUUUGGUUGGCAUACUUGUACAUAACCACUCGACCUGAGCGUCGUGUAACCAUUUCAGGCAUGUGCAAGGGAAACUGGAGGCUGGUUGUGAUUGCUCUGCCAGUGUUGGCCACACUCUGCAAACUUAUUUGACACUGUUUAUCCCCAGACUCUGAAGAGCCAUAUUAAGCUGUGUCUCAUGAAUUUUGCUCCAUUUUGACUGUUUCUUAUUUUUGGUUUAGCUUUUCCUAACGUUUUGACAAGCUGCUUAGUCCGAAUUUGAAUAUCUAUUUUUACAUAAAGUUGGUAGCUCCAGAACAUCUCGAGUGAUAUUGUAACCUGUAGGCACCUCUUGUCUCAACCAAAGAACAGGAGGCAGAGGCAACUCAAGGUGAACAGACUCCACAGAGAGCUCCAUUCAGCCCAGAGUAUAAUGAUACUUGCAUUAAGUAAUGAGUUGGUCUGCUGUGCUACUGCCAAAAGACUAUUGCACAGGGUUUAAUUGUGUCUUUUCUCUUUUGGAAUAGACAGAUACUUGUAAACAUGGCACAAAUAACAUGGAGCACAACAAACAUGGAGACUGCUGGUAAAAUAAAAAAAUUAAAAAUAACCAGCCGAACAUGUUAUCUGAUCUGAAGGAGACUAACACAAUUUCACAGAAAAAAAACAAGAUUAUCACCAGGAGUAUGCAGCUAGCAUGAUUUCCUCAUUGCAAAUUGGAUCCAAUUGGUGACAAAUUGAUAAACACAACAGUGAAGACACCACCUGUUGGGCCCAGGAAAUUGAUAAAUUGAUGAAAUGCACAGCAUUCAACUUGGAUGAAAUUAACCCCAUUAACCCUGAUAAUGUUGAUAAUGAAUCAAGAUGUUCUGUUUUCAUAAUUCCAAAGUCUGGUGAUUGCAAGGUUAAAGCGAACUCUAUUAGUGCUAAACAAAAAUACAUCCUUCAGUCCAUGCUCCCCCUUCAAGUCAUUUCAUCUGUAUUCAAGCAUUCCCAAUACUUCAGAAUAUCUCUCUCGUUUCGAUUAAUCCCUCUAUAAACAUGCUGCAUGGAUCAGCCAGUGCUCUUACACUCAUUUGAAGCAUGCCAUGAAUGGCUGAUUGCAAUCCCUUGGGGUGACAAAGUGAUAAGAGCAUUGAUUGACAGAUCAGGGGGUGUUGCUACGGCGUAAUUUAUCUCCCAAUGGCGGCUACGGGGUUCACAUUGAGGGGAGAUAAUGUCAUUUUGCGCCUAAUAAGCUAAUGGAUCCUAAAUCCAUUUUUUAGCGCGCAUAUAAGCUGAACACCAUUACCCUAAUGGUGAUGCUCAGACUAAGGAUGGAGAGAGCAGCAGUGAAUGUUAUUUGAGUUUAAAUCCACUCCAACAUGUGGGGGAAGGAUUAUGACAGAGGACGUGAUGGAUACAGCGCUGCCUUUUCAGUUAACUCUGGCCUUGCUUUUCAGCACUUUCCUCAGAGGGAUUACAUCAUAUUUGCUGGAAUUAAGACACUAAAUAGUUGAUUAAGGAUUAAACUACAUAUUCUUUAUAAAAAUUAACUCUGUAGAAGAUAUCUCAUAGAAAACAACAUCUUAAAAAUUCUUACUUCCCAAAUCCACAUUUGCUUACUUGUUUUAACCAUUGUCAAAAGCAAGCCUAAGAAUAGCAACCCAUAUCCAAGACCUUGUUGGACCACCCAACAACAGCUGGCACAAGUUACAGUAUGGCUCUUACUUCACAAGGCAGCGGUAGGGUCCAGUGUUAGAGCCAACUAUACAGCCUUACCGUAUUCAAACAUAUCCCAAAGGUGUUCAUGGGAUAGAGAGAUAACAAGGGGAUUUAGGAGGCCAGGAACCUCAUGUAUAAACACUAUGUAAAACUGUGCACAAACAAGAGAUUUUACAUUUAAUUCAACUCAUGAAACAACAUGCAUAUCUUUCCUCCUCCGAAACAUCCACAUUGAGCAAACAGCAAGGAAAGAACUGUUGUCUGAACUUAUUUUAUCUGACCUUUCUAACAAACAAAAAAGAGCAUCAGACUUCUGUUAGAUUCAAAGUCAUCUAAAGUCAUCUUGAAGCUAAGCCAUGUAUAAAAUGGAAGCGAGCAUUUUGUUGCUCUGUUUGUUUACAAAAGGCGAGCUAUUUGCUUUAUUUUCUGGCAGUGGAAUCUAUUGUCAGGUCUGUGUCUUUCUUCCUCUGUAGUACAGCACUGAAGAGCAGCACAAUUACUGAAACUGAAAGCUCGUCAAAGCAGGCAGCCCAGCUUAUUUUUUCUCCAGGAUUAUUUUUUUCUCUGAGCCGAGCUGAUAUUUUCUCUUAAUGCCAGAGCUACGACUACAAACAGCAGGGCUGUUAUCUAUUUUUUUUAGUGUUGCUUUUUACUUUUAAAAUGUUUUGCUCUUGUUGCUGAACAUUUUUCUGCCAGUGAUUUUCCCUGCUGCAUGAUUAAAACAUUAAGAAGCUGAAUUGACCAGCAUUGUUUCGGUCUUACAGCUUUAUAGCUCCACACCAAAUUGUAUUUAAAGUUUUGGUUGAAUUUGGUCUCUUUGAUUAGUGAAAGGCUUUUGUAGUUGGAAAUGCAUCUAACUGGUGCACGGACUUACUCCAAGUAUCAUUAAGUUCAUGAAAUUAACUAUUUUCAGUGCAAAACAGUAAAAACAUUUAAUGCCCUCAGCUUUUCUACUCUUCUUCGUGGUAUUUAGUUAUAGGCAUCUUUUAUAUUUUGAAUAGAAGCACAGCAUAUAUUCACCUCAGUCUUCUGACCACAAGAUUGCACAGUGCAUUCGGUUUGUUAGACACAACCUGUGAGUUUUACCUCUCCAGAUAUGUCAGACCGAAUGUUGUUUGCUUGGAUUCAUGACAUUACCUGGAGGUCUGUACAGCUUACCUCUCAGAACUGUUUCUGGAUCAACUUCAGACUGGAAAAAGCCAGUUUUAUAACAAGUUGGCAUGUUAAGGUUAAGGUAGCAUCUUGUGUAGCUGGGUGCAGUGUGGCACUAUUUUGAUCUGGGAAAUAAAGAUCAAGUUUGGGGGCUGACACUCACAGUCGGUGUGUUGAUUAGUCUACGCCGGACCAUGUGUGAUCUUAUAGUUGCCCCCAAAAUGAAGUCUAAACUAAGCUCAUUUUCUGUUCACAGAUUUAUUUUAUGGAGCAUGUCUCAGUCUCUUUAAGCUGGUCUGUCUGUCAGAUGUUCAUCACGUGAAAACAUGAUUUUGUAUGUUUUUGUGCUUUUGACAUCAGUUUGACCACACAGUGUGUGGCCCAGUGUUCACAAUGCUGGCUGGAACAUGCAGGUCCUAAUUUAAACACAAUAACCUCAUUUUUAGUAUGAUUCUUUUUUUUAUGCAUAUACUGGUCAUUUGAAAUAGUCAUUGUAGAGUGAUAAACUGUCCUUCACUGCUGUACUGUCAGGAGAACGAAAGAUGAAGAUCCACGGCCACUGUAGCACAAAAGUUGGACAAGUUAACCAGCCAAUGAGGCUGAGUUAUGAUGCCUGUUUUAAGAAGAAGCGAUGCAGCAGAGACAUUGAACAGCUGUCAAAUAGCAGCGGAAUAUAGUGUCAUGAAGUGUAAUGUCCUAGGAUGAUGAGUGUACAAAGACCGUAUUCAAAGAGAUGCACGAGUCACUGAUUAACACAUAAGAGUCGUGCUCAGUACCAGGGCUGUCAUUCAAUGGACUGCAGGAUAUUUUAAGAAAAAGCAAUGCUGCAGAGACAAUGACCAGCUGUCAAAUAGCCAAUGGAUAUGGUGCCAUAAAGUGUUAUGUGUAAAGAUGAUGAGCGCACAGAGAUUGUAUUCAAAUGUGUGUGUGUGAGUGGGUUUUUGAUCAGUAGUACCAGAGUCUUCAUCUACUGAACCAUAAGAUGCAUAAAUAAUAGCCAUGUGUUUUGAAACCCAUAUUUAGCUGCUUCGUUUGCACACAUGAGACUUUUUCUCUGUCAACUUAUAUUUGGGUCAAUAUAUAGUAUUUGUGGAAAUCAUCAUGAAUUAAGGCAGGUGCAUUCUGGUCAGCUCUGAGUUAAAUUUUAAUGUCAGUGCAGUAUGAGAAAUAAUUGAUAAAGCUGCCAAAAGUGUUUUAUGUCUAUGUUCAUUUUCAGUGAAACAACAAGGACAUUAAUCACUUAGAAUUAUCCUUAAUUUCUAUAAAUUCUAAACUCAUUAUUGCCAUUAUUUCCACAAGUUGAGACAAGCAAGAAUAAGAUUAUUAUUUCAUUUUUUUCCAGUGAGUUUGACCAAAUUUAUGCUGUAUAUAAAAAGACAAAAGAAUUCCAGUUUUGCGGAAAACACUGUUAAUUGAAUCACGGAAAGUAAUCAGCAGGUCAUAACAGUGAGAGUAAUGAUUUGUUUUACUUUCCAAGUGUAAAACCUGCUGGACUACAGGUGCACAAACCAUUAAUUUCUUUAAUAUCCGUAGACCAUAUACCGUAAAUUCCGGACUACAGAGCGCACCUGAUUAUAAGCCGCACGCUCUAAAUUUAGAAAGAAAAUCAAUUUUGUACUUGUAUAGGCCGCACCGGAUUUUAAGCCGCAGAUAUUUACACAAAGAUAUUACACGUGAGGAUUUUUUUAACGUUUGAUUUAAUCCGUAUGGUAAAACAAACAAAUACGGUACAUUUUACGAAUGCUUUUUUGAAACAGUACCUGUAACACAUCGACCGUACUUUUAUACGUGUCGGUAACACGCAAAUAACGUUGCAUAUGCUUUUUUACUGAACAACACGAACUUUGCAGCGUAUCAGGAAAAGUCAGUCGCCUUCUUCUUACUCCUGCGCACUAAAACCAUCAAAGUCCUCUUCCUCAGUGUCUGAAUUGAACAACUUUAGGAUAUUGUCACUCACUUCAGUCUCUUCGUUGUCGCUCUCACUUGAGCACUCGCGGUCCUCUUCAUCACGGAGCAGCCCAGCCUUCCGAAACCCGCCGGUGAUGGUGGAUGUUUUGACGCGGCUCCACGCAUUUAUAACCCACUGGCAGACAUCAGCAAAAGUUGCCCUUCUCAUGCGGCCAGUUUUGGUGAAGGAUUUCUCGCCACUCGUCAUCCAAGUUUCCCACUCACUGCGCAGUGCCACUUUAAAUGCACGGUUAACGCUGAUGUCCAGUGGCUGCAAAUACUUCGUGGUGCCCCCUGGAAUCACAGCUGGGAUAGAGUUUGUACUCUUGAUGGCAGCUUUCACUGAGACAGUUAUAUGGGCCCUCAUGCUGUCCAUCACGAGCAGUGCUUUUUUUUGGUGAAAAUAUCCCCCUGGACGCUUGCCAUAGCACUCCGUAAGCCAUUCCUUCAUUAGGCUUUCUUCCAUCCAGCCUUUCUUAUUGACUUUCACCACUAUUUCUUUUGAGAUCUUUUCCUUUGGCAUUGUCAGACGCUUAAAAAUCACCAUGGGUGGGAGCUUUAGUCCGGAUGCUGUGCAGCUCAGAACACACGUGAAGUGCGUCCUCUCGUGGCCAGUUGUUUUGAUUGUGAUGGACGAGUCACCUUUUUUAUUUACAGUCCGGGUCAGCGGCAAGUCAAAGGUCAAAGGUACUUCAUCCAUAUUUAUUAUGUCAUUUGGCCCGAUGGAAUGCUCCGCUAUCUUUGUUUGAGUAAAUGUACGGAAGUUAGCGAGUUUUUCCUCGUAGUCGGGAGGGAGCUGCUGACACAGCGUUGUGCGUGCCCGGACGGACAGGUCUUUUCGUUUCAUAAAUCUGAAACACCACGAUGGCCCACCUCCAAAAUCUUCGAUGUUCAUCUCGGUGGCCAUUGCUUUAGCCUUCAGCCUGAUCUGCACGGUGGAAACUCCGCGGCCUCCUGCUCGCUGUGUGUUCACCCAGUCUUCAAGGGAGUUUUCCAGGUCCGGCCACCUGCUGUGAUUACCUCUGAAAGCUUUUGUCGUCUUUUUGCAUCGAGUCAGUUCUUCGCGCUGGUGUCUCCACCGUCUCACCAUCGAUUCAUUUAUGCCAAAACGACGUGCAGCACCUCGAUUUCCUACGUCAAUCGCCAGACGGAUUGCCUUUAACUUAAAAGCGGCAUCGUAUGCUUUUCUUCGAGUAUCUUCCAUGUUGAUGAGGGUGAGUACAAAUGACUGAUUUACAAGACCGUAAUUAACUGUGAAAGUUAGCAUGAUGUAUCGCACAAUUUCAUUGGACCUCUGUGAACUUCUCAUCAAUUUUAUUGGUCUACUGUUUUUGGCGCCAUGAAAAAAAAAACAUGCAUUAGCCGCACCAUAUUAUAGGCCGCAGUGUUCAAAGUAGGCCUGGACGAUAUAGAAAAAAAGCAUAUCGAUAAAAAAUAAAUCAUAUUGAUCGAUAUCGAUAAUUAUCGAUAUAACUGUGCUUAUAAUUAUUUAACAUAUAUUUUAAUUGCAGCCCUGGAUGUUUUAUGCUAUUGCUUAAUGACCUACUUUUAAUAAAGAACACACAAGCACUGAAUUCAAAUUCAAACCUUUAUUCAACCACCUUUUUUAUUUUAACACAACUGAAAGUUUUUUUAAAAAGAACUAAAAAAAAAAAAAAGAAAUCAACUUAAGUGGCCUGAGUGACGUCAGUAAAUACUGACAAACAUAAAGACUAAAGUGACCAGAAAAUCAAAUAAAUAAAUAUUUAAAUAGUCUUUUGAUGAAAAUAAACAAAACAAACAAAUAUAUAAAUAAACAGAAUAGCUUUAGGUGGGAAUAGCAUACUACCAGUUUUAACUGUGUGGGAAACUGCCCACAGCCUGGUGUCUGAACACUGAAAUAUUUCUCCCGGGGUCGGGAGAUUUUUUUUUUAAUUAUCAUGUGAUUGACUUAAUACACAAACUAAGCACGAGAAGCAGGACUUAUCCACGCCGGUGUUGUGUCGUAGAAUGCACCCCUGCCGAAUGCACCCCCUGCUAGUAGCCAUGAUCCAAAUACUCGCGUCUUUGUAAAAUAUUAGCUCAUUUGAACGUAUUUCCUCCGCACCCUUCUCACCUUUUCAACCCCUGACCCAUUUUCAUGCCUGAAGCGCUGUGUUUGAGAAAUACUUGCGGCCGGGCACUUCAUAUCGCGGGUCGAGAGUGGCUAGAAAAUGGUCGAAGCCAGGCUUUUCAGCGGUAGUUAUUGGCAGUAUGUCCCUCGCUAUGGAGCAUGUUACCGCAUGGGUGAUGUCCUUACGCCGCUCGACGCUUUGUCGUAUUUUGGCAAGAAACGAAGUCCAGUUUGGUCGGCUUCACUUGCUUUGUGCUGGUGCUGGCAGCGGUUCCAGAGGAUUCCUCCGACGAUGACGUGGAGCCGCGGCGCGGCCGACACAGCUCGUACUCCUGCGGGUGCGACCGGUUUAGAUGGUAAAACAAGUUGGUUGUGUUACCAGACUUGGUUUUUACUAAUUCUCUGCAAAUUUUGCAAACGACCGCUGUUUGCUUUUUGUCAGACUUCUAAAAACCAAAACAUUGCCAUGCUGGUGAACUACUGAAACCUUUUUUCGGGACAAUGUCCUCCGCUUCUCCUUGCUGUAUCAUUUCUUCUAAUACACGUGCUGUCUGUUGUGGUUUGAUAGGGGCUGGGCUUGGUGCCGUAGCGUACCUGGGUCUGCGUUUGUGAUUGGUUGGGAGGAAGUAAUGACUGUAGUAAAAGCUACAUGAUAGGCUAUGAUGAAAAAGAAAGGGAAACUGUGUUUUUCUAUCGAACUUUUUAUCGACCCGUUUUUUUUCUAUCGCACCACACGUCUAUCGAUCGAUAUAUAUUGUUAUCGAAUUAUCGUCCAGCACUAGUUCAAAGUGUGGGAAAAAAGUAGCGGCUUAUAGUCCGGAAUUUACGGUAGAUACUUUAAUACACUGUGCUCUUAAAAACAAGUCAGGAAUUGUUGUUUCUCAUCAGCUUCACAAACUGUGGGUUGCUUUUAUGUAGUGCUUUUAGAAAACUGGGCAGAAUCUAAUAUCACAACAGAGCUACAAGAUCUCAGAAAAUUUCCUAGUUUAAAAAAUCGCCACUGAAAUCAUCCCACAUGGUCCACUUUUUGUUAUGUAACUGUAGUGUAUGCUUACAGGUGGACGCUAAGCAGCAUGAAGAGAAACAGUUGCUAGACUAUCAGCUGCUGCCUUUGUAGUCAGAGGGAAAGUACUUUAUGGCCUGAGUCAUCAGAGAUCUCCCAUAUUCACAUUCCAGAGACCUCCACAAAGCGUGAAAACAAAUGUCUGUAUGUGGUAUUUUGUUUCAGCGUUCUGGCGCUGAUUGAACACCUUGGGGACUGCCGCCUUCAAAAACAGCUCCAUUGUUUUGGUGUUGCUCAUAGCCUACCUCCAGUUCACCAUCAUGAUAAUGUCUUUUUCAUAGUCUGUUCUCGUUUAUCCGUCGCUGUUUCAUUCACCUGUUCAUAUGGGUACAUUAGUGUGAAUACAGAGGAGCUUGGUUUGACCUUAGUGUACCUGAAAUCCUACAGGAUUUAUAAAAUGCAUACCACGUCAAUGCAAAGCAGAGACAGUACGAUCGCCAGAUAAACACAAAAUGAAACAGAGAUGAUUAUGUGAAUGUACUUAAGCAACUCAUACAAGUACUCAGAAAUACACACUGAUAAACACACAAUAUAAUAUCACAGACCAUAUAAUUUUAUUUUCUGCAUCAGGGGUUUUCAAAUCUGUUUAACCUCUCCAACAUGACAUUUCAUGCAGUUUGUGAUUAUCAUGAUACAUUUACAUGUGCUGCAUUCUGCUCUCGUUUAGAUCCUAUUACUCGAUUUAAUCAUGCUGCUUCCUUAUCUUAAUAUUUCCUUUUUUAUGUUUGCGUUUUUCUGCACAGUCUAAGGAGCUGGUGGAGUUUAUUUUCUCCCCCUGAUUAUCACUGUUUCUUUUAUCACCAUUCCCACGUACCAGUUAAAUUAAGAAGAGUGGCCUGUUUUUCUUUUUCAGGUAAGAGGUGGUUUAUUUCUCGCAGUAUUAAGUGAGGUGACCAUAGUUUUUUUUUUUUUUUUUUUAAUAUUUGGAAUUCAGAAUAUGCGUUUAACUGAGCGCGUAAAAAACACUCGACCCAACUGGAAAAACUCACAAAAUUUUGUGUGUAGUAGUGUCCUCUUUUUGGGGAUUCAGAAUAUGGUCACCCUAGACUAUUAAGACCUAUUUUGUCAUUCAAAGAUAAAUCUUAGACAAGAAUACUGUUAAAAUCCUAGAGACUCUUCCACUCACAGCAGCACUUUACCAGAGUAGAAAUAGCACGCAAAAAUGUGUUCUCACCCUUUAAAAACCUGAUUAUUAUUAUUUUUUUUAAUUUUAAUUUUUCUGAAUUCUGUGUUUUACAAAGUGACCCUGUUUUGUCACCUGAAAUGUGUCUAAUCCAGAGUUGGUUGACUAAAAUCUUUGCCGUUCAUUUUAAAUUUGUCUUAAAUUUAACAAACGUUGAUUACAUUUCUAAAAACAAAAUGUACAGCCGACAUAAGCAGUGGACUAUGCUCUGCUUGCCUCACUCACCCAAAGCAAGAGUCAAGACGCUGCAGUCAGUUAUGUCAUUGAAAGUAUUGAACACAUUGAUUUUUGGUUAUACCUUGAAGUUAUUCCUAUUUUGAGGUUAGUUUUCAGAGCCUUGUUCCCAAUCUUUUUAUGAAUAAUCACAAUACCACAAAGCUGUAAAUUGGUAUCAGGUGGUAUUUUGUUACUACUACUUUUUCCUCUACCCCCUCUUCUAACUCCCCCUACUCUCAGGGAUGUAUCAGGGUUUUCUGACUGCAGUGGCUCAAAAGACGGCGUUGACAUGUUUGGGUGGCUGGAGUGUAUGAGCACAGUAAACACACAAAGAAAGAUAAAAGUCCCACCAAAUUGAAAAAUCCCACCACUAACGAGGUAAAUCGCCAAUCAUACUUUAUCAAACCCCUUCAUAAAAUUAAAUGGGCCAUUGCAAUCCCCAAGGACACGCCCCUGCUUCCUCCUCCUUCUUCUCCAUCUUCCUUUCUCCUUCCUCCUCCUAUCUCCUUCUUCUGCAUGUUCUCCAUCUUUUUCUUCAUUUCUUCCUCUCCUCUUGUGUCGUACAAGGAAAACAAGAAAGGUUUUACAGUUGGAGAAAGCCAAAGAAUGCAAUUAGCCCUCAGUGUCUCUUGCCAGCGAUUAAAAUUAAUGUUGGAUAAGUAAUAGUCUUUAUAUGAGCAGUCAUCCGGGGUUUGGUAAUUAUAAUGUGCAUUCCCAAUAUUUAUUAUACAUGUAUUAUACAUUAUGUGAUUAUUUCUUUUGGCAUGGGUGUAAAAUGCCAGAGAAUGUGAGGGAAUAAUAGAGGACAACAGUAAUACACGAGUGAACACUGAAAGAGUGAUAAAAGAACACCUUUAUUUACUCAAACCAUGACUGCUGGGAUCGGCUCCAGGCCCCAUGACUCUGAAUGAGAUAAGCAGUACAGAUACUUGAUGGAUAGAUGGAUGGAUGUCCAUAGCUUUGAAUAAUACAUGCAGCUUGUUGAUUUCGUUCUGAUUAUAAUAAUUAAAGAUUGCUCAUUGUUUAUAUGUUUUGAAUAGUAAUGUGUAAAAUGAAUUGUCACCUGCAGACCGCCUGAAUCAGCCUCUUUCUUGAUUUUGAUGUCAUAGCUGUAUUUCAGCUCUAGCCACUAAAAUGUUUUGGCUAUGUCUUUCAGCUUUCACAGCAGUGUUUACGGUCUCACAGAGUGCUGUUUUUUACUGAGAAAAUUGUAGAAAAAAAUAAUAAAAAAAGCCUGAACACAGGCUGUUCUCUUUCACUGUUUGUACCUGUUUGAGAUGGCAUUUGCUAUCAUUCCAGUACAACCCGUCAUGUGCCGGUGAAGGUCUAACCUGAGGCAAGUUACCAGAGGACAGGCUGACAUACUGUGUCCUGCACUGCGUGGUUUGUGCAAGCUAUUGACUUCAUACAAACCCAUAUUUUAUCAUUCUGAAGUGACUUUUCCUGCUGUGAAAUAUAUGGAAACUCUGAUAGUGUAGAAACACAGAUUAACUCAGGGUAAGAAAAGGAGAUACCUUGAUUUAGGUCUUGGUUUAAUCUGCAUGUACAACACCACUGAAGAUUGAGUUCAUGCCCACACUGUGAUGCUUUUCCUGAACUCAGUGAAAUACUUUUUGGCCUAAGCAAAACAAAAUACACCAUUUAAUGUUAACUGUGAUGGAAAGAGUAAAAGCAACACCAAGGGGUAGCUUAAAACAAACAGCACAGAAAAUAAAUCUCGAAGCAGACACCAAAGGGCACCAGAUGGUAAACAAAUGCCAAAUUGUACCUCUGCAUGAGGCAGCAAAAGGUUGCUGCAACGCGGAGCACAAGAUAAUGGUAGGAGGAAGAAAGAGGACAUGAUGUGUAUCUGAAGAACAGUGAGAAACAUCUGCAUACAUCAAAACAAGAUACUAGUUAUUGUAUAUUCAGGGUUUUUCCUGGCUCAAAUUGAGGCAGAGGUGGCACCAUCCUGACCAUGCACCACGACGUGCAUGUAUUUGUAAAUUCAACCGAUUCACUUACUUUUACAGGCAACAUACUUUAAGUUAAGAGUUCAAAAAAGAGUGUGACCAUUAUUAUGUUAAAGCAUUCAUUUAUUAAAACUAUAUACAUACACAAAUCAGCUGGCAACUUUAAAUUGAAAGUACACUUCAUCCACACAUCUCGCAACCAGACAGAACAUUUCAGCCUCCUCUUUUUCAUUCUGUAGAACCUCCUCAUGCACUCCUUGUAGUCCAAGGCCUCCUGGUCUGGUCCAUGAACGGCCACCUUACAACAGACAUCCAAGUGCCUCUCCUUCAGUCUGUUCCGCAGAGGUGUCUUCACCUUAAUGCAUGAUGAAUUGUUUUGUUUAAGUAUUUUUGUUUUUAUUCUGAUACAGACAUGAAGAGUGAUAGUGUUUUCAAUCAUAUAUAUAUAUAUAUAUAUAUAUAUAUAUACACGUUGCAGUGUCCUCCCUAAAAAAAAAAAAAAAACGACAACCAAUUAUUUCUUAAACUAUCUAAACUAUGUUAUUUAGUUUUUGUAACUUUAUUAGUUGAGUGUUUUUAGGUACUACCAUCUUUAAUAUACUUCUUCUCUUCUGCUGCUUUGUGAACGGCUGUCACCUCAUGUCUUUUUAAUGUGUCCAGCCUGUAGUUGGUUGAUGGCUGUCUCACUAAGGAGGCAGCAAUUGCCUGCUGUGUUGGGGCACAGUGCUUUUGGCAUAAAUAGCAGUGCAUGCCUUCCUCAGUAUGCCUGAGCUAGGUAAAUUGAUUGAGCCACUGCUUGUCAAAGCCACUGGCUCUGUGUUUUUGAGAAGAUCUAGAAAGAGGAAUAAAAACCACGUACACGUCGGCUUUGCGUUGUUAUGCUCCUAGUUGGAAACUAAUUAAUUAAUUACCCUCGCCUCGCCGACUCGUCCUGUCCUGCAUUCUGACCCUCGCGAUCACCAGUCCCUUGUGAAGUACUUUCAGACCUGACACAAAUUUCCACGUUGUCACCAACAUGAAUUAUAGCAUUUUAACUGCCUGUUACGUUUUUUCUCUGCUGUGUUUCACCUGGACUCUUGACUUUCCUCCUCGCGAGGUCGCUUUUUAAAGUACUGGCUGAUUUUGCCUGUCAUAACUGCAACGCUAAAAACGGAGUAAACCUUUUUUUUUUUUUUAAAUAAACACGACAUGCUUGGAUGCAAAAAAGAGAAGCAGUACUUACCUGUUUGCACCAUCCGCCAGGGAAAAUCAGGAUGCCGAUAGCACCAACUAGCGGAAAAAAAACUUGAAAAAACAUGAUUCGAUCCGUUUCUUCUUCGGUAGAUGCUUCAGGUCUUUCCGGUGCACUGCUGUUGAUAUAGCGCCUCUAUAGUGGCGCAACCCUGCAACUGCAGUUAAAAUACGUUGCUGCUGCAUCGGGACAUCAAUCGCUCAAUCAACACAGCUGGAGCUUUACGCUGUGUUGAGCGAAAUCAAUCGCUCUGGCUGGGGGCGGCACAAAAUUAGGUGGAGGCGGCCGCCACGCAAUUUUGAACGCAGGAAAAACCCUGUAUAUUCUAUGAACAUCUGACUAUAGAAAUGUACUGUAUUUAUCUUUCUUUUUAGUUUUCAACAUUCAACAAGGGCUGGGUAAAAGGGCAACAUUAGAGCAGAGAUGGGUUAUAAUGUUUCUAUGACCUGCAAAUCCAGAGUAUUGCAUACAUUGUAUAUAUUGUGUAUAUUUAUACACUAACAAAUGUUGACUUAAUUUCUAUAGAACCGACCAAGCACUCUGGUGCAGACCACAAUCUGAACAAAUGGCAAGUCCACUGCUACUAGCACACUGGAAACCAGGACUAUAUGUACGAGGUUACUAACAGUGUUAAUUUCAUUAACGAAAAUGAUGACAAUUAAUAUUCUUCAGUGACCCUUUUUUUCAUGACAUAGACGAGCGAAUGAGCGACAAUUAAUUACCUAAAAUAAUGAAAUAAAAUAAAACAGAAGGUACACUGUCAUGCUGGCUAAAUCACAAGUACUGAGUGUCCUUUUUAGAUCAUAUUUGAUGUACAUUGUACUUGGCAUGAAUUGGCCAAGUUGCACACAAAGCCUGAAUCUGUGCAAAUUAUUCAUUAUUCUUUCUUUCAGUACUAUAUUUUCCUCUGUUUGGGAACUUGCAAGUAGUCUAAAAAGUUAACAUAGCUAAGAAUGUUGAUUGAAUGGAGACAGUGAUCCUGUCACUAUGAUAUAUUUGCAUUGUCACCCACUCCUACACAUAACAAAAACUGGCCAGUGCUCUCUUGGGUUAAUAUAAUAGUAUAUAUUUUCAUAUGUGACAUGUGCAAAACAGUGCUAACAAUACAAGCAAAGGGACUUUUCAUCCACUUCUAAUAUGUAAGUUACUGAUUCAGUCAGUGUCAUUGAUCAAUGAUUUUAAUACACAAGUCAGGGCGGCAAUUUAUUGAAACAUCAGUAUCUUUGGAUAUCACAGGUUAAGGCUAAGGCUGGGCGAUGAACCGAAAAUUUACCGAUACCGGCAUUUACGACAAUAACCGGUGUCAUUUUGCCCAUAUCGCUAUAUUCUCUGUCAAAAAAGUUGGUUUUGGAUGUGUGUAGGUAGGCUCGGUGUCCCUUUGUCCCCCAUCCAGUCCAUAACAAAGAGGUAAAGAAAGGUGAGAAGAUGGAGGACGUUCAAAAGUUGAAGCGGUUGGAGCGGCGGCUGAAGUAGACAAAGUUAAUGUGGGAGGGGGUGAGCAGCUUGUGGAGUAAUUAUCGUCCAUUUAUCGUUAUCGAGGUGAACUGCUCAAUAUAUCGUGAUAUUAAUUUGAGGCCAUAUCGCCCAGCCCUACCACAGGCUGAAACACUCUGAUUCUACUGAACAGUUCUCAACUACAGUAAAAGCAUCGCUGAUAUUCCUUUCACUGAAAUUUGACAGAUUUACCGCUUCUAUAAUUAUUAAAGAAACUAAAGCCUCCUCUUGUUUCAUCUAAUCAGAGCAUGAGCACAAAAUGAAAUCCUCUGUGUAGAAAGGGCGACAUAAAAAUGACUGCAAAGACAAAUCUAAUUCAAUAGGGUAGGUGAGUCUACAUCUGAAACUAAUGACUGAAACUAAGAAUUACUAGUCACUUGGUAUUCAGAAAGAGCUGUCUGAGUCCUUAUAUUUAAUUGAACAUGAGUUUAAAUGUUUAAGUGAUCGCGUUCGUUCUCGGCAGGAGAUUUCUCAGAGGAGCCAAGUAUUGAAGGAGAUCUGGGAAGUUAAAGACUAAUUUUCUUCACCUUGCUUUGAGAAGCUUAAAGAUCUUAGAUUCUUACAUGUGUGAGCAGAGUCACAUUAAUAUUGUACAUGAAUCUAGAGCCCUUUGAAGCUUAAUAUAAGAGAGUACAUGUUGGCGUUUGCUGCUGAGCUACAUGAAGCACAGCCAGUGAAGAGCAGUUUAUAGGCAGGAAUAGAUGAGGGAGUCAGAAGUCAUGCUUGGCUAUACGGUUAUUGUGCUUUGCUAUAGAAAAGUAAAUGGAGAGCAGUGUUUAUGCUGGGCCAUUUUACAGGCUGACUCUAUAGGGUUUAGUGUGUUCAUAACUAUUAUGACAGAAAUGCAGAUUGAGUUGUCGGAGCCUUUUUCGAGCAACAUGUCAUCAUGAAAUAGAGCCUUUUCAAUGCAGAGAUUUAAAUAUUAAUCAACAGCAAUUUUCAUCCCCUUCCAUCCUUGACAUGAAGUGGUGAGUCAUAAAGGUGAAGUGAAGCGGCUGCACUUUUAUGUGUUCGGGCGCAGCAGCUAUCAUGUUAGUGGUUCUAAAUUUAGCUGCAGGAAGCAGAAGGUAGAUGGUUUAUUUGAUUCCUGUGGUCCGAAGGUGAAGUUUACUUUCAAAAGGAAAUUUUCAGCUGUUUUUUGGAGAUAGAUCUUAUUCUGAAAUAGAACAGAAAAACAGAUUUUACAGCGGUGACUGGGAUGUUUUAUCUUCUUGACAGGAGGAAAAGAAGUGGUGAAACAGUCCAUCUUCAAUUGUUACUUCAUCCCAUCACUUCCUGACAUUGCUUUGUAAUAGAUUCUCCAAAGCUUCAAGAUAAAACUGGUAUUGAAGAAAUGUGUAAAGUUAUCAUGGAGGAAUGGAUCAAGAGAGGCUGCCUUUCUGUCGAAGAUGCGGAACACUUGCCCACUUAAAAUAAUCAAGAAAGCCCUCAAUUGAGAGAAAACCAUUUAUAAUAGAAUACAAGCAAGGGCUUGCCCCCCCCCCCCCCCCCCCCCCCCCCCCCCACCCCCACCCCCACCCUCACCCACCAGGGAUUGAAUGUGAAUAAUACCUGAGGGAAUUCUGGUGGGUUGGAAGAUAACUACAAAGAGUGGGUUCAACAGUGAUAACUUUACGCAUGAACACCUCAAGGCCAGAACAUUCAUCAACAGAACAAGAUUUUCGGUCAUAAAAACAGUUUGAAAGAGACACAGCGGUCUAAGGCUCUGCAGUAAAGACAGGUACAGUUAAGAAUUGCAAUUUGGGAAUCAAAGUUCUGAACAAAGUUGAGUCUAACAGUUUAUGGUUUGACUCAAAUUUGAAAAGCACACAUUUUGUGUCAAGUUCAUCUUUUGAACGAUAAAGUUAUCAAUCAGUAUGUUUCUGAAUCCAAAAGCUUAAAUCCUUGCCUCAUUAGGAGGAGAACCAAAGGUGUCAAGGCUUGAUAGUUUCUGCUUCACUCCAUGUUUUAUUAUCGCUUCGUGUCUUCGUCAUUAUUAUGACGUGUUUUUGGAAGGCAUUCUAUGAAGUAGCUGUGACUAUAAUAAGUGUGACCCAUGUGUCAAGGAUACAAAUGCGCAGAUGCUCAAAUGCUCCGAGCUUGGUUGUGGAAACUGCUCAUCCUUCUGUAAUGCCUGUGUGCUGUAAAGUCAGAUUAAAAUAGCUUAAUGAGUGCAUCCCUGCGAUGGAGAAAAGUGAUGUUGUUUGGCUAUGAACAAGAUUAUGAUUUAAACACAGAUGUUGAUAAACAUACACCCUGUAGGGUCAAGAUGGAAACUAAGUCAGUUACAGAGCUCCAGUUAUUUUACUUAACAAUGAAACCAGAUGGCUUGAAGAUUAUAAAACAAGUCGAUGCAAUUCAAUACAAAACAAUACAAUGCAAGAACUUAACUGAUCUCCAAAGAGAAACUUGUUUGUCUGGAAUCUCGUCUCAUCUACUAUUUAUAGAGGAAGUAAAAAGUCUGAUGGAUUAUCUUCUGAAUCUGUCUGUCCUGCAGCUAACAGAGAGUAGCCGUCCACCACUGUUGUUUUUUGGUCCAUCAACAUGUUAUGAAGUGGAUGAUCCAUGUUUCUGAGAAUGGCCUCUACCUUCUUCAGUGUGCAUCUCUCUACCACAUCCUCCGGUGAGUCCAACUUUUCUCCAACCACAGGGUCAGCUUUUUUCACCGCUUUGUCCAGACGCUUUGCAUCCUUAUAUUUUCUACUGCCUCCCCUUCAGACUGUAGCAUAAAGACUGUAGACUGUACAGGGUUGAAGCCUCCUGAUAUUUUUAUGGUGCCUCAGUAUGUUGAGUCUGUAUCCUAGCAACAGAAUGGAGAACAUUACUCAGGACUUCACCCGUUGUCUUGGUAGGGAUGUGUACAAGUAUUGUUAUGGUAAAACUGAACUCUGAUGGAACACAAUAUGGUUGAAAGGCAACUGCUAACAGUUCAAUAUCUUGACAACACAACUUGUCGUUCUCUUCCAGUAAUAUGCGAAGAGUUACACCAUCCCAAAUCCAGACCCCCUCCCUUCUUUUCGCCACUAGCUUUAGCGUCUUCACCCGAUCUCAUGAGAGUGAAGCCUGGUAGAUCCAGACUGGAGUUCGGGUUGUUUUGAUUCAGUCAGAUUUCCUGAAAACACAGGAGAAUUCACUUGUGGUAAGCUUUCUCAGUCUUCACCAAUACCUCCAGUUCGUCGUUGGGCAGAGAGUUGACGUUUCCCAUGAUGAAUGAUCUUUCAAGCAUAUUGAAAUGAUCAUAACAUCUAAGCAAUGAUGUUCAAAAGCAUGGUCGGGUUUAUUCAACUGAGUUUGAAAUCGUGCCACUCUUAUGUUGAUACCUCAUCCUGAUCCACAAAGUGAAACAAGAUUAUAAAGGACAAGACUGAUCACUUUAUUUCCACUGAAUUAUGGUGUUGGUCAUAUUUCCUCCAUAAAAAAGGCUGAAUAGAUAUUCGGCUCUCACCUGGAGAGUCUAUGUUCAGAACUGUGCUGGUAAAGUUUGUCAUUGAGAAGUACGUUUGCCAGCAGAAUGAGUUAUUUUUUCCUUUUAAAUAACAUUUUUUUUCAUGUUUUGUACUCAUGACUGAUACUGGAGGAUGAGCAAAAGAUGUUUGUAGUUGUUGAAGGAUUUUUUUGGCAGUGACACUCUACAACCAGUACUCUGCUCAGUAAGGGAGUGAAAAGGCAAUAAACAGGAUCUAAUCUUUAUGCUAGCUUUUAAAGACUAAAGACUAAAGAGUGUGUAUAUUUACAGUACUCAGUCAUUUACUGGGACACUGAGGCUGUGAUCAGUACAGUUAAACUACUUCUUUCAGCCACUGUUUGCCAGCAAACCAAUACUCAUCAGAGUUCACAGAUUUUUGUCAUGUCAUGGUUAAGACAUUUAUUAAACUACAUAUCUCGACAAAGUUUGUCCUAGAAUACAAAAAGCGCUAUCCCAUUCAUUUGCUUCCACAGUCGAAAUGCACCAUUAAAAACAAAUCCCUGUUUCAUCCCAAGAAGUCACCUGAAUCACCGCAACAUGAAAACUCUUAUUCUAAGGUGCUAUAGUGAGUAAUUGUAUUGAUAUGUUUGAUGCUAAAUCACUGUUACAGUGAAAGGUGUUUUAAAAAAGUUGAACACUCAGGUACAAAUAUUUAUCAGUCAGGCCAAUUAAUCAGCCCAAUUUAAUGACAUUUUGAAAUAAUUUGCAUCAGCCAACAUCUGUGCUCAUGAGCUUGAUUAAAAAAAUAAACUAAUUUUGUCCCAGCAGCCUUAUCAGUGCGGUUGCUGUCGAGCAAUGUGAAUGUCCUCUGAAAAACAAGAUCAUGUUUUUUCUCCGUCGUUGGUGACAGCAGACCAAAUCAAACGAAUACAAACUAGUGUUCAAUUAUGUAUUUUGUUAUGAUGCACAGAAUACUUGAUUUUAAUGUUGCCUCUGACAUAAAUCUUAUGUUUUGAAAUCUAUAGUUUAGCCAAAUGUAUUUUUUCUGUACAAUCAAACUGAACCAUGUCUCUGGCUGAGAUAACCAUGGAUCCUAACUUGUAAUGUGUAUGGAAUGAUGGUUGUUAUCAGUGUAGAAUUGUUAUAUUCUAUUUAAUCCAGAAAAAAAUUGAUAUUUGCAUUGUAAAUUGGCUAUUAUUGACCUGCUUUGUUACCACAGGCGUCAGUAUUGGCCAUUGGGAAACCAUUGUGGUUUGACUAACAGUAAUCAUCACCUGACUCUACUGUUCCCUUACAUCCUAUGAAGGUUUCAGCUCAUUGCUUUGGUUCUCUGGCCCACAACUCGACUCUGUUGAUGAAUUACACCAUUAUUUAUACACAUCCUUCAACAACAUGAGGCUGAUUACCGUUUUUCAGCCUUAGUCAAGGGCACUUGAGCUUUACUAGGUUUAAAAAGUUUUGCUAUUCUAGUUCUAUUUUGGGUUCAUGCUCAGCUCUCACAUUUUCGUCUGUGACUGUUUUUUUUUCUUUUUAAGAUUUUUUGAGCUCCUCUAAACUUGAAGUUUUUAAUUUAACAUUUCAUUGUGUGUCACUGCUUAUUCAUAUUUUCAUUCAGCCAGCAAGCUGAGCUCUGCUGCUUUGUUAUUGAAUUCAUUAGUUUGUUGACUUAGAUCUAAUAUGAUGAUCUUGAUUGGUUGCAGACUUGCAGCUGCUCCCUAUCUGAAGAAUCCUGCUCUUUUUUAUCAAACCGUUUACUUGAUAAGGGUCUUGUGCAAAAAUGCUGUUUAUUCUUUCCAAGCCAGACAGUGUGCAAGGGUUUGCAUUUUUUUUUGAUCUUCUGGAGCACGUGUGCAAAACAUUUUCUACUUUGAUGCAAAGUUAUGAAGUUGCUAACUUUUGUCAGUUGAGGAUUUAGCAUCUGAAAGGUCUGAGUCAAAAACAGGACCAAAAGAAUAGAAGGGUUGGUAUUAGGCUGGGAUUUAAUAGACAGACGGAGCUAUGUUUCAAAUUAAUACUGGAUUUUAAUGAAGGAAACCACAAACCAAAGACCCAGAAUGAAAGCUUUUUAAAACCACAAGGGCUAUAUAUGAUUCUGAAAACAUUUUUGAUGGAGUACCACUUUCAUGUGCUGCCUCUACUAGUAGCGAUAAGUGGUGACCUAAAGCAGCAUUUCAGUAAUUAGUGGAAAGUCAUUUAUGCAAACAAGAGUGAUCCAGGAUGCUGUUAAACCCUUCACUUGAUUCCAAACACACACAAACAGAAAGAGUGACUUAGUCUCCUCUCUGUUCUCUUUUUCUCUCACACAAACACACUCUCACUCGCUCACUUACACAUUUUAUCAUUCGGUUUUGUAUUUGUUCGUUAGCGGCCCAAAUUGGAAAAUAAUGUUGGUAAUUAUCUCAUCUGUAAAGCCAACGUGGUGUUCAUAAUUUUGGGUUUCAUUAUUUGAAAACAGAAAAACAAUUUCCUCAUGCAGCCAGAGUUCUUCCUAGGCCUAAAUCUAAUGAUUCAGAAUCACUUCAGGCUCAUGGAAAUGAUUUGGCCAAAGACUUGAUAAUGCCAGUAACAUCAUGGUCUGAAUAGAGCCAUUUCAUCUCUCCUUUUCUAUCCCUCUGAAAAUCCAUUUCAACCCCACUGCUUACUUUUGAAAGCAAUAAUAUGGCCCAAAAUAAUACAUUCAUGUGAUGUGAAAUUAGCUUGCCAGUAACUGUUAUAAAGGUCUCUAAUGUAUGCCUCUUGACAUUCCUCAGCAGCAGUAAGUGCAUCUCAGCGAGGUGUUCUCUUUGUGCCAAAAAUAUAUAUAUUUUACUCUCAAAGACUUGACUUGUAGCAGAGCAGAAUUUAUUUUUUAACAGAGGUUUUUGAAGUAUGUUUGCCCACUGCUUACAAACUGUGCCAGCUUACAAAGUGAUGCUCUCAAUUUUCACAUCUCACUGUGUGUUUGAAGGACACUUGCGGGUACUUGCAUGAGAACACUUCCCUUUAAUGUCGAUUUUCAAGUAUUAUUUAAGUUGCAUGACGCAGCAGUAAUAAUCAGCAGGAUUAGCAAAUGAAUAUCUAUAAAUGCUUUUACUGACAAAACUCUGAACCUGAAUAUCUUCAGAAAAAUUCAUCAACAGAGUGACUAUAACCUUGUCAUGACUUGUCUGGAUAGGAUAGACUCAAAAAUUAUAUACUCUGCAUUGAUUUUUAGGGACAACUUUUAAGUAGUUUUCAUCCAAAACUUGUCUGUUUUCUGUAUUUUAUCGGUAAGCAUACAUUGGCAGGGCUCAUUAUCUGCAAUUUUGUAUUUGAAUCAUUCUCCAUUUAAUUCAAAUCUCAGCCAGAAAAAUUCCACAUUGCUUUGGCUUGAACGAAAUAUGAACCGAGCAUUAAAGCUCCUGUGAGGAGUUUUUAGGUGGAGAUGAAACAGACUGAAACUGAUGUUGAUGUCUUUUUUUAUGUGCUAGAAAAUAAUCAAGAUAAUUAAUCAGAAGGUUAGUUAUUAAUUUAGUUGUUUAUUUUAAUGUCCAAAAAGUAUUGGCAGUGGGGUAAGACACACUGCUGGAACAGCCCGUCUUUUCUUGAGUCUUGACAAGUGAUCCAUUGGACUGCCAAAAGCGAGCAGGAUAAGAUGUUUUGUCAAUAAUCACCAUUUAUCCACAAAAUCAGUAAGGAAUGCUUUGUCCACAGGGGACACCAAAAUUGACACAAUUCAGAGCAUUGAGCUUUAAUGCGUGCCACAUUUUAGGGUGUAUCAUGCUAAAUGAGUCUGUAUAAAAGAACAAGUAACAAUAGCUGUACCUCGGUACUUCAGUUGCAACCAGCUGUCAAGAAGUCUAGAGAACUGAAGCUGACGUGAGAGCCAGAAGUGCCUGCAUGAGGUUGGCUGCAGAAGCACUAGAAACUGUGUACACACUGAGCAAACACACCUGUUUUAAGGGCAGAAGUAAACACGUUUGCAGCCUGGUUCAAAAAAUGUUUUUGGUCUGACUAGCUCAUGGCUCUUACGUCAUUCGUUGUACAGAAAGUGAGUUUUUUUUGUGAUUUGUUCAUGUCAGUGGUAUCAAGUUUGCAAAAAUUAGCAAAUUUGAGGCAUGGCUGACUUGAGUUUCUAUUAUUUCUAUGAUUUAAUUUCCCUUUGGGGAUCAAGAAAGUUCUUCUCGACUGAGAGACAGGCACACUGUAGCUAAUUGCAAGGUCUGCGGAUGCUGGCAUAUCAAAAGCUAGGUUAAGUCAGCAUUACCAAUAUGUAGACCACUGCUGAUAAACCCUUUAAAGAAACCCAUCAGUGACGUCACUGGGACUUUUUUUAAAACCAGUGUAAGACCGAGAAUCCUUCUGGGGCCAUGAGAAAGAUUGCAGGUGGGCUCAGUGUGGCACUGGAAUCACUUCUCAAGGGCAACACCCACAUCUUGGACACAGUCUAUACAUUUUGUAUUUCAAACCUACUUUACAGCCACAGUGCUCUUCCCCUCUGCAGAGGUCACUCACUUUUCAUUUUCCUCGCUGACAAUCCUAACUUUCACCAAAGGCCAUCCAUCCGUCAGGUAAGCCUGAGUCAUGUUGGCCCCAUGAAACAUUGAGGACAGUUUUGGAAUCGUGCUCCAGUCAACAAACAGCAGGCAGGCCAAGAAGACGUGAGUUACUGCCUUGGGAGUAGUGCUGGCCUGAAAUUUGGCAUCAUGACAUAAUUUUGACAGUUUUUCUGAGUUGGGUGUUUGUCUUUAAGCAGAUCUCAAACCCACUGAGGCACUGAGUGUACAGCACUUCUUCUUAGUGUAGCAUCACAUCAGUACAGAAAAUUGAGCCAGAUCAGACUACCUAUUCUGUAGCUUCCUUAAACUCAGAAAAAAUCUUUAAGAAAUACAGAAAAAUAAGCAACUGAUUAACAGCUGCGGGAAUCUUUAUGUCCAUGAACUCUGUUUUUUAAAGAUUGGUGAAGGUCAUGGGUUGCCAGUACAUUUGAGAACGUAAUAAUAAUUAUAAUCUUCUUCCCAUGACACAUUUAAAAAUUUGUCUUGAAUGAAAUGAAAUGAAAGUAUGUGAAUCCAUCAAGAGUGUAAUUAAUCAGUCCCAUUGAUUCAUAAUAAUGUGCAGUGGUCAUGACAUCUUCAUUCUCCAAAUGUUCUUCGCCUAUAGGUCAAAACAAAUUAGAGAUGCUGUCAUUCACAGAGCAAUCUUUAUUUCCACUUUUUCCCUCUGGAAAAAUAUCAGGGUGUAAUUAAUUGUGCUCCCAAGCCAGCACUCCUUGUCUUUACUCGACAGCACAUGGGCAGAAGGAGAUAGAUGCACUGGGUGGCAGAGUCUCUUCAUUUGAGUAGAUCCUUUAUUAGAUUGUAUACUUUAAUUUCCUCCUUGUUGGAGCAAGAGCAAACAGCAACAGGAGUUUCUUAUCCACGAGGAUCCAAUUGCAUUUUAUUUGUAGACAUUACUGAACAAACAAUCUCAUUUGAAGCAUGAUGAAAUGCAUAACAGAAGCCUGUGUUCGACAGCGAGAUUCUUUAGAGCGAGAGGAUGUUUCAUAAGCCUGCAGAGUGCAGAUUAUGUUCAAGUGUGUACCUUUUUUUAUUUAGCAAUAUCCACCACCAAAAAAAAUCUUGUAUGAUUGCAUGCUGCUGCAUCCACUCUCCGUAAUUCAUGCAUGAGCCUCAUAGCUCUGCAAUAUACUAUCAGUAUGAUCCUUGUGGCUUUGCAAUACAUUAUCUGUAGUGUUUACCAGAAACAGAAAUAUAAAAAGAAAUACGACCAUCCACAAUAAGAUAUGGAAUGACAAACACAAAGACUGGCUUAUCAGAUGAGACAUUUGAGAAGAUUGCUCAAAAUUGACUCGUGGAAAAAUAAAUCUUUGUCAGAUUUUAAAGGGGCAGUAUGUUGUGUUUAAUAGCAUUAUAGCAGGACAGACUUGGUAGAAAUGGAAUAUGAUACUUGCACACAACUUUAGGCUAACCUCUAAAUUUAUAGCAGAACAGACAUCGUAGAAAAUAGAAUAUAAUACUUGCUUGCACACAACUUUAGGUUAAUCUGUAGACACCAGAAUCAGACACGUCUUUUGUUUUUAUAACACCACAAGUUCUUGUUCAAAAUGUUCUUUUAACUAUUGUCAUUUAUUCUUUAACUUAUGCUCCAUCAGAAGUAGUAUACUUCAAAAUAAAAGCAUAGUUUUAGGGAAUAGAGUAACCUAGUCAUAAAAAAAAUAAAAUAAAUAAAAGCAUAAUAAACUAUUGUUUUGUAAGUAACUAUAUUUAUUAGCAAAGUUUAGAAGAGUUUUUGAGACAAAUUAAGUGAUACAUCGGCAUCACAAAGGAGUCUUGUCCUCAAAGGACACCAUAGCUAGUGAAGCUUUACUAACCAGAGCAGUAAAGAGUUUCAGUCUCUUAAUUUGUCUCCUCCAUAUCACCAAAUAUUCCAAUUCCGCGUACUGUACCUUUUUAAUGUGAAUCGUCUAACAAGUAUCAAUGGCUCAAGAGAAUAUAAUCUUGGACUACUUGUUUGGUCCAAUUUGACUUUCUUACCACAAUUGUAAACUGACAAACAAAUAAAAUUGAAUUCUUAAUGAGAAUCUGAACCAGCAUUGUGUAUUUUCAGUCACUCUUUGCAAACAUCAGAAAAAUUUUCUCGGUGCCAGUAAAAAGCCACAUUUCUGAUUAAACUCCCUUCUGUGGACUGAGAAGACUACUGCAAAACGUUAGCCCGCUGUUUCUUUGUAAGGCAUGAAAAGGAUCGUACUGUGCUCUAUUCAUUCUCCCUUCAGCUCCAGUUUUCUUCCUCAGACUCUGGGACAUUGGCUUCCAGAUUUGCUGAUUGUUUCCUGAAUCCAUUCUUGUCUCUUACAAUACUUCCGGGGCUGCUGGUUGUCACACACACAGAUCAAUUCCCCAUGGUGAACAGAUGGCAAGGUGUUCUUUACCUGAAAUGCCUCUGCCUUUUCCCCCCUGGAUUUACCUUUACCAAACUGUGAAGUGUGUGUAGUACAGCUCCACAGCUCUUAUAUAAGAUUUAUAUAAGUGUUUUGGUGCGUCGAAAAAUGUUGUCUUUUGACAUGUCAGCCCAGGAAAGGUUCCCGCCUUUGUGUUCGAUAAGUCAUUUGUGGAAAGAGUGGUGUAAAAGUAGGUGUAAAAGCAUUUUUAUGUGUGGUGCUCCAAACUCUUCCACACCUACACAUUAUCUGAAAAACAACUUUUCUUUUUCUUACAUUUUCAGGGCUCUGCACAAUAGCUUUCUGGGGGCUUCCCACUCUGAAAUGAAACCUAUUGUUGACUGUGUGAUUUCACAACAAGACUGCCAUCACUUCCCUUACAACAAUGCCGCCCAAAAAGAGUGCUGAUUAAUCUAUUAGCGAAGCCUCAAUUAUCCCAGACCCUGCAGUUAUUUACCUGAGAUAGAAAAAAAAAUCUGCCCCCGUAGACUCUGACAGAUAUCAUCACUUUGAGACACUCGGUGCAGUUCAGGAAUUAUUUGUGAUCAAGUGUUCGAUUUAAAUUUGUAACUCGCUUUGCUGGUACGCCCACCUCCUUCUCUUUGACCGCACUGAUAUACUUCUACUUCAGCUCCUGAUUUCCUUUGUCACCUCAAGUGACUGAACAACCUGGAGAGAACAGGGCAUGAACUUAUUACUUUGAAUCAAAGGUGGGCGUAUAUGAAUAUAAAUGUCUCACCAGCGAGUUCUUCAACACGAGGGCAAGCCUGUGAUUGCAGUCGGGUCCCUCACUAAAAAGUCUAGUGGGUGCAUUGCAUUAUGGUCUAUUGAAGCAACUGUCAGCGAUGGAAUUGGCCUUUCUGCUCCAGCUUUUGUGGAUAUGCACCUCAGAUUUAGAUUCAGCAUAGGUACAAUAUGGCAGCUCAUUGUCCCAAGUUUCCCCCAAACCUUCCCAUACCUCUUAUUUGAUUUUGUUUUGCUGUGAUCUUCGUCAUCCUGUGACUUUUCAGCAUUAAAGUAGUUAUUUUUAACUCCAUGCAUGUUUUCAGGAUAGGUUUUUCCAUUACCGGCAAAAUUAUAUGAAAAGUAAAAGUGGUGCUUAUGGUCUUCUCUGGAUAAUGAGGUUCAACAUCGUACCUGACACUUUUAUGUUGUCUGUUAGCAGCAUAAUAGCAGUGCCCUAUUUACUGUGCACAUAUGCCAUACAUUUUCUUCUCUUCUUUUGAGAGAAAAUGAGCAGGCUUUUGCUUCAGUGCCGUUUCACAAAAGCUGUGUUUGGUGUUCAUAUUUGGUCUCCCCUCCACAUAAUGCUCAGUGAAAAGCAAAGUGAUACCCGUGGGGUUGCUUAUGGCUCAUUUUUUGGUCUUGUCUCACAUUCACCACACACACAAUUCCAUUAAACUGUGAGGUCUUUUUAGAGAGCGAGCAUGCUCCCUCAUGUGCAACACAAACAAAUGCACCCUCGGCGCACUGUCACACACACAUACACAUGAUCACACGCACGCACGCACACACACACACACACACCCUACAGGCUUCUUUUCCUGGCGAGGGAGCACUCACUUAGCGUAGCGUUAGAGUGCAGAGAUUGGAAACUCAGCAAGUGGUAGAAAACUGGUGGUAUGGAAUGAGAGGACGUUUGAUGUUGACUGAAAUCUCAGUCUGCACUGUACAGGCACUUUGCUCUUAAGACUGAUUGGCACUCUAGAUUGCAUUAAAUUAGAUCCUAAGCCAGAUACUUCCCAUGUAGUACUUACUCAGAGUGUAUUUUAGGACCUUGUACGUGUAUGUGCUUAAAAUUUCCCUCUUGAGCUCUCGACCAACCACAGAGUACAUUACAUGUUACAUGAGCAGUUUCUCGGCCGACUGUUGUUCCUAUUAUUAUUCAUCAUUUCCUGUUCUCUAAGCACAUAUUUACAGAAGAACAGGGUAUUUGUUUUAAAUCAUACUCUGAAAUCCCGCACAGAAGGAAAAUACACUACUCUGGAACCUGCUGACACACAUGACUGUAAUAACACUGACAGCUUACAAUAGUAGCUAUAGUGACACAGGGUGAAAAUUUCCCCUUUUUCUCACCAUGUAUUGAAAAACUAUGAACAGAAGGGAUAAUAAACCUCUAGUUAAAUGCUUUUGCAUCUCUUCAGGGAACAUUAUAAGGACGCCCAAAGGCUGUGUUGGUUGAUGAAACUUAACUAUUACUGCCAGACAGAAAUUUCCCCAUGGAUAAUUCUUUUCAGGCAUUUUAAAUGUAAUUGAAAUUGGGAAAAAUGCCGUGAGUCACAUUUUUGACUUGAUCAUUGCUUGAGCAAAAACAAUAUGUUUUUUAAAUUAUGAGAAAAUCUAGGCUUUGUAGACCUUUUGGGCACUGCUUUGGGGGUGUUUUUUUGGCUUUACUUAAAGGACAGUUGAAGACAGACAUGAAAUAUGAGGAUUACACAUUGAGAGAACACACUCAGUGAAGGGUUGUGGCCAGAAGCUGAUAAAGAGGCUAAUGCUGCGUUCCAGUUACCUCAAUAGUCGGAUGUUGGAGCUGGGAUUGACGCUACACCCGAGUUGACAGCGUUCCAGUUAAGUCGGUAAACCAAGAUGGUUAUAUAGUUAGAUGAUAUAGUUACCCAUUGUCAGCUGCUGUUGGCCAUUCUCAGUUGUUGUUAGCAUUUGUCAGCUGUUGUUAGCCGUUGUUAGUGGUUGUAAGUUGUUGUUAGCAAUAGUUGAAGACAACGCACAACACAGUAUUUUACUCUAUAAACACCAUAGCACCGUCUUCACAGUUAGACGUCGGGCAGUACAACAUAUGCUACUUAUUUAAUAUCACAAAAACAAAACAGAAGUGUGAAUAAAUAAUAUAUUACAAGAGCUUUCACUGUUACUCUUUACUGUUAAUGCACUGCGCUGCUGUCUUGAAUUAUGAUGUCGUCAAGUCGAGGUUGGCGUGGAUCGUCCGACUUUCGGAAAUCCGACUUCAGGAGGGUGUUCCAGAUGACUUUCUGAGUCGGAGCUCCGAAAUCCUGAUUUACUAGUACAACUGGAACACAGCAUAACACAACGAAGAUGACAUUCUGGCCUUUUGAGGAGUUUCUGUUAAAUUUGGCGCCCCCAGUGGACAGAGCAGUCCAUCUUUAAAUGUGCUCUACAUCCUCAUGAGUGCUUUUCAACACAAACCUCGUCCUGCUAAAUUUUACAGUCAAUUCAUCGAUUUUUUUUUCACUCGCCCCCGCCAGUUUCAGGCAUUCAAAAGUACAUUAUAAAAAUCAUCAAUCUUAUGAUGAUCUUGUUUGCUUUUGUAGAGCAUGAAAAUACAUUAAUAUGAAUUUCAGUAUAUUUCAUAAAAGCUUCUAAACUUCUCACUGGAGCUUUAAGGUGUGCAGCGAUUUACCAUUUAGAAGAUGUUGCUAGUUAAGGACUCAUGAGCACUCAUUUCAUGAUACUGUUUUUAGUCGGAUUGCAAAUGUGAGUCCACUGUUUGUCCCAGAAUUAUGGGUGACAUUUGCAAUCGUUCUGGUUUUGGACUUGCAGCACAAACUUAGACGUAAGUGUGAGUCAAAGAAAAAGGAAAAGUAAGAGGAGAAAGGAGAUGUACAUCUUUUAAAGAAGUCCACAUGAAUAAUUUGUUUCUCAGCUUCGUUUGUACCAUUCAUUGCCCUGUAUACUGCGAGCCUAAGUGGUCUUAAAUGAGUUUCAUAAUGCAGUACCUGACUUUAACAGCACAUCAAAGAACGAGCGAGAAGACAGACUCAGAAAUGAUGCCAGAGGGACACUUAGGAGGUGAUAUUUCAAAGCUCUGUUCGCCUGAUCAAGUUGUGAGAAAGAAGUCGUGUCGGUGGGUAAGCAAAGAUCAACUUCACUUUCUGGUUGUUCUGUAACUCCUGACAAAGAAGUGAAUUAAACAGAGAUGUGACUCUGAAAGGAUUCACAUAAUGUCUUGAUGAGAAAUAAUGAUGUGAACAUUUAAUAAACUGAUCAGCCUCAAAGUGUGCCCAGAUCCUGAACUCAUAAAUAUGAGAGAAGUUGACACAUCAUUAGCGUCUUGUUACACUUUUAAUUUUACAACUUUUGCAGUGUGGAGGGCUUCUUCACCAAACUGCUGUUGUGUUUGCGUGUUUGGAGAUUUGCCAUUUUAGGCACAGAGACAAUUAUCAUGGGCUACGCAGGAGUCGCAUAGAUUUAACGACCCAUACAGCCAAUCAGAUCAAUCAAUCAAUUUUAAUUGUAUAGUGCUGAUUAAUGUUUGCCAGAGGAUUUCAGAAGAAGACGAUAAAAAAGGCCAAGUCUAGACAGAAGUCUUUUUACAUUAUUCACAAAGUUUAAACACUAGUCCACCAUUACGCAUAACACUUAGGAGCAUUUAGCAGGUACCGGCGACAAGGGGAAACUUUUUAACAGGCUGUGACCUUGAGUCAAAGUCGUGUUCAAUAAUUGACAAAAAUAUUAAUUUUAACAGCAGUUGAAGUGUCAGCUCUACCAUAAUCAUUUUAUAAUGAUCAUACGAGUGAGACUGAUGUCGGUGGUUGUUGCAGCCAGAGUCAUGUGGGUCUAUGGCCAUAGGCUGUCUGCAGGAAUGAUAGGGGAACCUCAGAGUAUCAUUAUUGCACAGGUUCAUUCAUUUCAAAAGUUAAUCAUUUGUGUCAAAUUUUUUUAACUAUCAAUGUGGACUGUAUUUUGAAGAAAUUAACAUGUUGACAAAACCUUUUAUUUUCAUGUCACAGCUCUUCAAAAUGAUCAUUUUCACCUUUCUUGACCUUUCUUGCUGCAGGAACACAGCGUGGUGUCAGUGGAGGGUAAGCUAAAGUGGGGAGAUGUGUUGAUUGCAAAAGACUUGGCCCUGAAAACCGGCUGUGGAACCAUCUCAAACAGCUACUUCUUGCUUAGACAAAUCAUCUAAAUUGCCAAAAAGAGUAUGAGGUUACUUAGCUCUUGAUGCUCUUACGGAUCAUGGACGACUUUUGCGAGCUCACAUGGUCUCGGCAGAUUUGAAGCAACAUGUGGAUCUGUAUGGAUGUAACAUGUUUGAAUCAAAUCUUUUGCUGUCAAGUCAAGAUACAUUUAAAAAAGCAGCCAUGUGAUCAAACUUCAUGUGUCAGUUUAAAAAGACAUUUUUUGAGGCAGUAAAUGAGAGUGAAAAGGUAGACAACACUACAUAUCUGUGGUGGUAGUGGUAGAGGUGGGGGGGCAGAGCCGCUAAAGGCUGUAAAUCCCAUGAUGGUCAAGUGAGCAGUGAGGUGAAUGGAAGAAGAAGACCUUUGUGUGCAUGUGGGUGUGCUGGUGUGCACAAGUUCAGAGGGCCAAGGUUACGGAUGGCCUGAGAGGUGAGGAGAUGAAUCUUGAAAUCAAUUUGAUGUUUGACCGGGAGCCAGUGAAGCUGUUGAAGGACAGAAGUGAUGGUACGGCAAAGUUCUGGACCAGCUGGAGUUUAUGGAUGGACCAAAAGAUACAGUAGAUAACCAGGGUGUGAACAAGAACAUUAGGUAUGAGUAGGGGUGGGAGAAAAAAUCGAUACUGCAUAGUAUCGCGAUACUUUGUCUGGUGAGAUAUCGUAUCGUCUCAUUUACCAUUUAGCAUCAACAAUUAAUUUGUUUAUGAGGUCAAAUCUAUGAUAAUGGAAAAAUAAAAUCAACUGUUUGUCCAGCGAGGUUGGCGGAAGUGACAUCAUAGAACAGAAGAAAGUUGAUACAACAAAUCUAUAAAAGGUUUGCAAGAUGUGCUACAUGAAAAUAAAAUUUAGUGUAAAUAAGACGAACACAAAGGAAAGCCAAAUGCUAAAUUAGCUAAACAGUUGAAAAAAUUGUAUAAAUCGCAAUAUAUUGUAUCGGAAUACUCACUGAAUUGCAAAAUGUUAAAAAUCACAAUAAUAUCGUAUCGUUGCCAAAGUAUCGUGAUAAUAUCAUAUUGUGGGGCCACUAGUGAUUCCCACCCCGAGGUAUGAGGGGUGAGUGAAAAUAUUUAAUGUUGCGUGGAUGGAAAUAUCAGACUGAGUGAUAUUAUUGAAGAAUAAUGUUAAUACUGUAUAAAAAGUGAUUCAAUAAAUCAUCUGUAUUCCCCCCAAAAUGAAUGACAAACCUUUUUUUAAGGGAUUUUUGCUUCUUAGGAGCAUCCUAAGCGUGCACUCAAAAUGCACAAACUCUAAUAUGCAGAGUAUAAAAAACAUGCUACCUCAAAUUUCACACUUGCAAUAUUUCCAUGUAAUAAUUUCGAGUGAUUCCCAGCCCCCCCUCUUGAUGGUAUUAACUGUCAUCUGUCAAGUACAAGCUGGCAUUGUCAUACAGCUCGUCCUCCUCAGUGCUGCAGCUCGACUGGCUCUGCAGCUAUGAGUCAGCAGGCUGAGACGGGCCGCUAGGCUGUCGUCUCUGAUGUGGUUUGCUAGUGCUCUUAAUGCAGAUUAAGGAGAGCAGCUGUGUGUUAGAGGCACUGCAGUUGACUCAUACUUUUAAAGGGUGUAAUAAUUUGGACAUAAUUUUGGUCGGACAUUUGAUAGCUUUGAAAAAAUUGGAACCGAUUCCAACUGAACCAGUUGUGGAUUCUGCUGAAAACAGACCCCAGCUUGACCCAGUUUACUACACGAUGGACCCGUAAUUGAAAUUUUAACCUGCAUACAUCUGAGUCAGAACUGUCAGUUUUCACACAUUUUACAGUCAAGAAAUGCCUAAAGCCGAUUUCUAUUUGCACUAUCAGUGUUUCACAAAAGCAAAGGAUAUCUUAUCAGGGAUGAUAAUGUCAAAGAUGUGUCAUACUUUAGCUCUUCUGUCUGCCAGGACAAAGUAAAGCUAAUUUCCUCUUCACUUUGUGUUUGCGGCGUUGAUAUGCGUAACCAGGCAGCUGAGAGGCACUUAAAUGUCACAGAAUGUGUUGGCAGGGCUGGAUGUAGGGGACAGAAGUGCAUAUCACAUUAUUCACGCUGUCUGAUCCAGAAAAGGAAUCCUGGGAAAAGUCAGAGAGCCUGACCUGGUAUAAACCUGCUGGGUAAGGUCUGCCUGCAAUCAGGGUGUGAAUCAAAGGCUCUGUAUGGAUGAGAGAAGAAAAACUACAGGCUUGCAAAGUACAAAAGCUUAACAUUCUCUGAAAAGUGAAUAAAUAAGGAAUACCAGGAAAGGCUUCGAGAACUGUGCUUUUUCUUCCAAAGUGCUGGAGUGAAACAGCUCACUGGUUCUGAGGAAAGCUGGAGCUGGAGCUGGGUUAUAGGGAGGCACUCUGCUCAUAGGCUCAGCAUGUCGUCCUUGCAUAAUAAAUGCUUCCAUUAAAGUUUCUCUGCAAAGAGUGAUUAUGCACAUGUGUUUCAACUGCUAAGAGUUUUAAGAAAAGAAAUUAGUCCCUCCAUUUAAUGAAAAAAGUAGUUUAAGUGUUGAUUUUUUACACAAAUGAGUCUAAAACCUUGAGUUCAUGACUGUUUGCUCUUUAAAACUUUUUUUAUUGCGGCCAUCUCAUAAGUGUUUGUCACUUUUUAGGAAUUCAUCAACCAUUUUAAUUAAAGUGGCGACAAAAGUUAUUUUUUUUCUUUUUUUCUGCACAUUUAAUCUCCUGUUUUGUUGAAAGCUUUUUGUUUACACGGUGGAUUUAAUUGUUUGUGUGCAUGCUUCCUUACCUCCUGGCUACCCUUGACACCUCUCACAAGGACUUUAUUUACAUGUAAAACCCUACCAGCAGUCAGCAUGCUGCAUGUGCUCGGGUAAUUGCUCAUUGCAAAAACAUAACUUCUAACAUUAUAACCAAGGAAAUGUUGAGCCUUGGGAGAGAGCUGAGUCUGCCAGAAGUGGGAUCCUGCCGUGUUAAGCCUUGCAGUUUGGCAGCUCCACUGGUACGUGGCGUGUAACUGUUCAGUAGUUUCUGCCCCGAGUUUCUGGAAAAUCCUCAGCUGUCACUCAAGUCAUAAUGGUGAUCUUUUUAUCUUCAUGGUAUAAUGCUGCUGCGGAUCCUGCAUUCUGCUGUUUGUUAUCAGAGAUGUGCAGCACUCUAUAUGUAUUUCUUAUGUUUGCAUAGUGAUUGUUUCUUAAUGUAUACAAAAUCACAUUGUAGGGGUGUUUGCAUCACAAAACAAAGAUUCGUUUUUUGCAGAAAGUUACAUAGUAGGGAUGCACAGGAACAUGCAUGAAAGACCCUUUCUUUAUGACUACAGGUUUGAUUUUGUGCUGUCAACAGAGCGCAGGGUUACCUCCAGGAUCUUUUGAAACUGUGGGGGAGGACUCUAGUUUGUAUAUUGAUUAUGUAUUUUCCAUCAUUUUAGUGACACAAGCUGACAUUAGUGAGGUAAAAGUAAACAAAACUAUAAUUUCUCAUGAGAUUGGUUCCUGCAUUACUGUAGAAAACAUGGCGGUGCAAUUUGGCAGUUUCCUAAAUGAGGAUCUGCAACUUUGUGAGCAUAGAAGUCAUCAGAAACUAUUAGGAUAUGCCAAAUAAUAUGAUAUAUGACAUUAAAAUUCAUCUGAAAGAUGAAUUUAAUUUCUUUGGAAAAGUGCAGCCAACAAUAUACUUUAAAUGAGUCGCUUUGUAGCCCAGUGAAGCUGCAGCAGCCCCUCACUGUGUCGGUGAUUCAGAAGCUGUAUGUUCCAUAUAAAAAGACUGAUGUAAAACCUGAGGGAGUUUGGCCGAAUGAUUGAUAGACAUGUCUGGUUUAUCAAUCGUUAGGCGGUCAGUCAAUGAGGUUGUCUCUGCUUGCCUUCAGUCGAACCCGGGAUUGGUUAGUUUGACUCAUUAUUCCUUAGUAGUGGGUGAGGUAACUAGCAUAAAAACUGAGGAGCUGACGCUUCUGUAAGCGACAUCAGGACUCAGCAUCUACAGGUUCACUUUAGCCACGCUGGUCUUGAACUUUUACACGACACUGCUUGGCAGAACCCUGAAAACUCCUCUCAUUUAGGUGCUGACUCAGAACUUUGUAAACUUCUGUGUUUUUGUGAGAAGGGCUGAACAUUUGACUGAUAACACUCAUCUGCUCAAAUGUCAAUGUGGCGUUUGACCUCCUCCUCCUCCUCCUCGCUGCUCAGGGUCAACCCAUGACUCAUAUUGUUGGCGGGUUAACCAACUAAUGGCAGUUGGUUUCUUAGAGCCGGCUUCCAUGAAUGGGAGGUUCGAACAGUAUUCAUGGCAUUUGUUUACCUGUGCAGUGUGAAAAGGAGGCUGUGAUGUGAUAUGUGUGUGCCUUGGCCAGCUGUACAAUAUUUCAACGUGAACACAAAAGGACCUGAGGGGAAAUGCAUUAUACUCUCUGAAUCAGGACAAAGCCAAUGAGCUGCAGGUGAAAAAAACACUCUUUUCUCAUAAUAAUUUACUCUCCUUAUCAUUAAGCUUUUUGAAAACUCUUUAUUUUCUUCAAAUUUAGAAGCAAGACUCUACUUUCUCUGAUGAAAACAGUUGGUUUAUAAAAUGGUCUGUUGCUGGUGGUCACCAAGGUAAAGAAAAAAACUGACUCAACCGCUCUUUCAAUCAACCUAAGCCCUAUCUGCACAGGAUUAGUAUUACCUCGGGACCUCUGAUAGUAUGUGAUAAUUGUGGAGGAUAUCUGCAUUAUUAAUCCCUUGUGAAUAAACCAUGUCUGUGAUUUGCGAGGAAAAAAAUCACCUUCCGUUUUUAAAGAGGGGUUAUUUAAGGUCCUCAGAUUGUAUCAAUCCAGUCUGAAUCAUUCAGGGCGGUAGUUUAGUUUUAAAAAAGCCUCCACAGUUAUUUUUUCUCCUGCCCACCUCCCAGUUAAAAUGCUGAAAACAUCAUACAUGAAGGUUAUCACAGCUUUUUAGCAGCAAAAUUAGCCUGAUCAUUUCACAAUACUGAAGUUUUCUCAAAUAACAACAAUGUCCAUCAGUAAAUAAUAAUCAAAACAACAAUGAAAAAGGAACUUUUCCACCACUUAAGGUAUAUUUGAUGUUAUAUAUGCGAUGGGUUAUAAGAUAAUGACAGCCCUGUUUGUCUGAAAACAAUGAUAAAACAUUAACAGGUUGGCACUGACACACUGUGUCAUGUUUAUUUGUUUGUCUCAACAAUAACAUUUAAAAGAUUAUAUUUUUCAGGUUACAGUGAUAUCUUUCUUUGCUGUUAAAUUUGGAUGUUCAGGAUGUAAAGCUUUAGAGCUUCUGUCUGAUAGUUGUUCUGUUUGGAUUUAGACAUUUAGAUUAUGAUCUGUCAGCCAUAUAGCUGAUUUUUAAAACGGCUAUAAUCAAAGCUUUGACAUUUAAUCAAUCCCCAUAAAAACAGGAACAUGUUUAAUGCUUAGAGGGGUUUUUUGUUCCUUGACUCAUUUAUUUGGCUGCACAGGCAGUAACUUUACUUCGCUGCGGUACUUCACCUUUACUGCCCUCACUAGCAUCUCCUCCUCCAGCAGCAGCAUGCAGCUGUUUCAAUGGGAAAAAAAAGGUCUGAGAACAAAAACACUGCACUACACCAGCCAUGCACCAAACUGCUUACAGAGAGAAAUAGCUACUAGCUGGUGAGGAUUUGGCAGCUUAAAUUGUCCCUAUGGGCCCGGUGGAAAGCACCAUGGAGCUAAAAGGUGAUGAAAUUUGAGGCUUAAAUUCAUCCUGUGACCACAAAUGGGACUCCAACUGCUGGAAAUGAACCUGCUUGCUUACAAGAUCUAUAAACCAGCUUAAUAAAGUGAUAGAGCAUGUGUUACAACAUCUUCUUGGGUUGUUUCUGCUGCCAACAAACAAAAAGCGCAGGCCUAAAAACUAGGACUGUGCGAUAUGAUGAUAUAUAUUGUCUGGGCGAGAGAAAAUGUCUAUUGUUUAACAUCAAGCUCUAUCACAAAACACCGGUUUACAGCAGUAUUUUAUGUGACGACGUGACAUAUGGCAUGCACAGGCACAGCACACUGUGCACAGAGCCGUGCCAGACACAACUUGACUAAACAAAACAACAACUAUGGAAUCUGAGAAAGACGGUAGCGGUCCUUCAAACACCAAUUCUCAACAAGAUGACCACGAGCCAAUGACAAAAACUGAGGAUGAGGAGCUUUUACCCAAAAGAGGGAAAACGUCAGUUAUAUGGACUUGGUUUGGGCUUAAAAAGUCAGACAUGGACCAGACCACUGUUGUUUGCGAACUAUGCCGCAGCCCGGUCCCAACGACAGACUCAAACAUGAUAUGGUUUCAAUCUACACAGUCGAGAAACAGGAGUUUUGUGAGUUGGUGCAUACACUCAAUCGUAGAUAUGAAAAGCCCAGUCAAAAACACAUUAAUAAGGUUGUGUUACCUGAUUUAUGUAACAUUAUGUUUGCUGCUAUACAGUUCAAACUUGAAAGAGUGAUUUAAAUUUUUCACUAGAUUUUGUUAAAUUUAAUUAUAUUAUAUUGUUGCCGCACUUUAAACGUGUUUACAUUUGUAUUUGGCCCUGCACACAGCUAUUAAAACCUCAGAGGUUUGUUAUUUUGUUAUUGUUGUAUAUGUUAGUUUUUCUACCCGAUACUGCCAAUAGGCUGCAGGCCGACAUUAUUAUUAUUAUUAUGUUGUUAGGCACAGUUCUCAAGUGUUUUCUAUUUCAGUGGUUCUCUGUGGGUUCCUUCAGAUUAAGGGGGUUUAAUACAAUUUACUUUCACAUUGCAAGGUCUCCCCUUAGGACCUUGCAAUGUGAAGGUAAAAAGUUUGAGAAAGAGAAGGGCGGUGUUACUGUUUGGAAGUAUACUGUCUGCUGCAACAUACUGAAUAAUCCUUAUGGCAGUUUUGAUGUUUUUGCACAAAUACAUGUUGGAAAAAAGUAUUUAUCAAUUGAAUUUCCCCCAAAAAACAAAAAAGACAAAAACAAAAAAGCAAUAUCGUGAAAUAUAUCGUUGUCAGGAUAUAAAAUGAGCUACACCGGGAUAUGAGAUUUUUGUCAUAUCGCCCAGCCCUACUAAAAACUGACUUCACUGUAUAAAAAACACAAAAUAAAGUCUCUAAAAUUUAACUGCAGUUGGACAAAUAUGAAUAAUUCAUUUGAAACCUUUUUUUUUCAACAUGCUGAAGUCCCCCUGCUUUUGUAAGUUGGCAGAUCAAUGCAUAAGAAACAUCCAUAUUGUUUGCAGAAGAACUAGAGAGACUUAUCUUUGAGUGAAGAUAAAAACCUCUUCAAAUACUGUCAGUCCUUCAGGAGGUGAAACAAUCAGUGAGGAAACAGAGGACAACCCCCUGUGAGAUCUAAAACAUAAACCAAUUAACAACUGUGUUCCCAAUUUCCUCAAAAUCUCUAUUACAGUUAAGAAUCAGUGAUAACAAUGCAGGAGGCGAUACUUCUGGUGAGACUUGAACACACUUUUGCCGGCAUCUUCUGCUUAGAGGUCAUUGUGGCUGAAUAAAGUAAAAGAAUGAAGUCUCUAGAGUGCGUUUCAGUUCAGUUUUCAGAAGCAUUACGAACUGUGAGGCAAGUCAAGUUGAGUGUUACCGGUUUUAAGUUGCACUUUGUGAUCAAGGACUAGUACCUGGCGGUGAAUCAGACUGACAUUGAUACAGCAAUUCAUUCAAAUACUAUUUGAAGGCUUGUCUUGGUAGUUUUGCUCCUUGCUUUUUGAAGCGACUUCAUCUUCGUAAAUCAAAGCAGAUCAUCACAGCUCUUAAAUUUGGCCUUUAAGAUUUUAUUUUUUUAUUUUUCCCUCAGAUGCACUGGCUUUUCAGGAUAUUUGCUAGCAGGAGUCGAACUGAAAAACACUAAUUGCAACAUACAACUCUAUACAUAAUCCUUCUGACACUGAAAAUUGUCCAAAUGUUGCUCCUAACGUCCAAGCUUGAAAUCUGGUUAACUGCAGCCCGGCCAGUAAAAGGCACACUGAAACGUCAAAUUGCCAUUUUCCAAAUGUGUGUAUGCAAAUGAUACAGCCAGUUUGUGUCAGUAAAAACUGUGCACACUCCACAUAACUGUUUGCUGGGUGUAUGUGGCCCUUCCUGUUCCAGGAGAGAAAAAUAAACACACACUGUGGUAAAAAUGUUUCCCUCUAGCUGCAUGAGGCUCUACCCAGAGACCACACAGAGUAUCAUCUAAUCUCGCAUCCAAAUGAAGUGUCAGCAUACAUGCAUAUAUGGGCAUCAUUUUCGAUUAGAGGCACAUUAAGCCAUGCACGCUCAAAGAGAUGAAACCUAAGGAGCAGAUGAAAAUGAAUCAUGAUGACAGCAAAUAAGUCAGUCUCGAAAUGACUAACAACGCUGCAGACACAUUCAUCACAGCGUGUCACUCUAUUGCAUCUUUAUUGCUUCUUUCUUAUAUGUAAAAUGUGUCUGCGUGUGAGUGAGGGUGUACAGAAGGCAGUGUACAGAAAACUGGGUAUCCCCCAGGGACGGUGCUGACUGACUCCCUGAGGAGCGACCUGUCUUAAAUAAAUCAUUUCAUUUCCAUGCCCAACUUCCCCCUAUCUCCCUUUAAUCCAGUGUGGGAGAGAGUGGAGGGAGAUAGGGGAGUAAGCUGUUUGCCUUUCCUCUCUGCCUGUGUCGCUUUAAGCCUUCGGUAAGUUGAGUUUCCAAACUUUUUUCUAUUUUUUUUUUUUGUUGUUGACCCACUUAAAUGUUACUGUAAACCUUCAGACUGGGUUGUACAGUACAGGGGAGAGAGAAUGUGAAUAAAUCAUCUUUUGGGGAAUAAGGGCGUUGAGAUUUUGAGCAUGGGUUACUGCUGCUUAAGAUGAGAAGUUUGACCCCACAUUUGCAGGUAUGAGACAUAUUUUUAGUGCACUUUGAAGGCUGAAUCUUUACUGAGGUCCAUUUUACGCCAUCUAAAUAACUGAAGUCAAAAACAAGAUGAAAUGUGAAGCAUGUGUAGCAUUAAGAUUGCCAGGCGCAUUGCUUUGAAAAUUUAUUUUCCUGCUUUACUGAAAGAUAACAGAUCCAUCAAAAAACAACUUGGAUGUUCUUUUUUUUUUUUUCUUCUGGGCCUCGACUUCUAAGGCCAAGAGAUGAAGCCGCUAUAGAGGUGCCACAACCUGCUGUCUCUUGAGCAGCCAAAUGGUAGACUCUGAAUCUUAAUUAAUUCUGAUAUUUAAAUGCUUGAUUAAAUAGCAGCAAAAACACAAUUUUUACAAAAAAAUUUAGGUUGGGUGUCUGCAUAAUGUAAGGCUUGGUCCCUUUGCUAAAGGGUAGAUGCUGCUAACUAGGGGUGGGAGAAAAAAAUGAUUCACAUAAGUAUAGUGAUUUUUAUGUUUUUUUUUCAAAUUUAAGAAUAAUUCUUAAAAUCUAACUAAGAUUUGAUGUGUAUUUUUUUGGGAAAUAUGGUUCCUGAAAUAGUCAGUAGACAAUCAUAAUCAUUCAGCUGUUUCACUUGUGUUAAAAAUGCAGACUAAAAAUUAAGAAAAUCGACAAUAUCAUAGAAUCACAAUUUAAAUCAAAUCGGCAUUAAAAAAAUCAUAGAAAAAUCAAAUCGAGAGAAAAGCAUAUCGUCCUAGCCCUACUGCUAACCGUUCAACUGUUCAACUGUCAACCCAGCAGUGCCAGAUAUCAAACACAAACUUCCCCCAUUGUGUUUUUUUUUCUUUUUUAAAGUUAAACUGGAAAAAUAAGGUUGUCACUCUAAAUACUACAACAAAAGAGUCAGAGAAUCUAGAAUAGGGGCAGAACCAAAAACAAGUACAGAAUGGCCGUGAUCUUCAAGCCCUCAGGCGACGCUGCAUUUAUUACAGACUCUGACUGUCGUGGGAAUUGCUGAAUGGGCUCCAACUACCUCCAAAUAUUCAGCUCAUAACAAAUACCAUCUUAAGACACAAAAACAAGCCAAGAACAUUUCCCUUGAUGUCUCAUUUAAAAACACUUAUAAAAAUAUCUUCCAAGUGAUAUUGUUGAGGAAACACUUCAUUUGGGCAGGCAGAAACCUUGAGGAGAACCAGACCUCUCAGUCCUGGGAACUCUGACUUAUUUGAGUCAAAUAUUUGAGCCUCUUGCACUGACUGCAAAGCUUUCAGAACUUGUUCGUGUCCUCGCUCCUCAUCAGCACCACCCUUUUCAUCGAAAACAGUCACUUUGGCCUCAGAUAAUCAACAUGGCAGGGACCAAAAUGCCAAACUCAAGGCGUCAGAGAGGCAAUAGUGACAAAACUACACAGCUUAUACUUUGUGCUUACUUCAGGUAAAAGCCAAAUACCCACCUGGCUGUGUGUUUUUAUGAAGUCCUGUAGGAACACCAAAUGAGAUCUGGAGGUCAUCUGUAGUCCCUUGAACAGCGAGGCUGUACUUAAGCUACCCUUGGCACAUCCCUAGGGUCUUGCCUGAAAAGUGCACAUACUGCAUAACAGAUCAGUUGACCCUGUCAGCUGUGCUUCACAAUGAUUGACACCGCACUCCUAUAAAGCCGCAGACUUUUAACCAGUGCUGACAAGACAGUGUUUCACCCCCCGUGCCCUCUCUCCUCACACAAGUUUCUCUACCUCUCUGAGCCUGGAGACCUCUUCAGUCUUUCAUGUUGUGAUCAAGUGCAGCAGAUAUUUGUGAACCCUGAUGGAUAAGCCCUUCAUUCCUCGGUGAGCACUGGACUGGAAAACUGAAGCACUGCCUUCAAACAAAAGCAAACAUGGACCACGAAGUAAACAGCCAUUUUGAUUUGAAGAUAAUGGAAAUUUGACGUGCCUUUCACCACCCACAUCUAAAAAAAAAUCUCUAGCCUCAGAGCAGCCACUUUACUAAGACUCAAACUGAGGUAAGCGCUAGAACAAUAGAUAAUAUUAGGCUUCUUUUACUGAAAAGUUUUUAGAGUAUUGUGUUUGCCAGAGACAAAUAGACAAUAGAAAAGAGCAGACGUGUGCUGUUAGAUGAUCAAAUUAACUAUUGACAAGUCGCACAUUGAUUGCUGAUCGUUCAGUUUUGCUCGCUCCUCUGCUGAAUAAUUAAAGACAUCAAAUCUAGGAUCUGCACCCUUCUGGGAAUUUACAGCAGGUGUUUGGGGUGGAGUUGCAUGUGUUAGGAGAUAAGGACCAGUGUUUAUCAGAAUGAGUCUCUGCUUCUUGAAAGGAUAUCUCAGAUUUUUUCUGAAGAGGGGUUCAAUGAGGUGCUUAUCAAACAUAAGGUACAUUCUAGUUAACGGUCAGCACACAUCUGUUUUAAGUAGACAGCAUCUCAGCUUUGUACCACUGUGAAUGGGGUCCAAUUAUCAAUAUAGAAGUUAUUUUCACUGCUGCACUUACUCAUUACAAAGCCCUUUCCUUUGGCAACAUGUUUAACAGGCCAGCGUCUCUGUUUCUGCUUUUUACGCGCUAAAUCAAAUAAUCUGUUUUGGUCAGAAAAGGUCAUGACGAGCCGAGAAACAAAAUCAAUAUUCUCUCUUAAGAUUCAUCAAACAGGGCAUGUCCCAGAUGGCAUCUGCACAAAUUCGACAUAAAGUUUUGACCACCGACAAGUGCAGCAAAAAGCAUUGAUUAUCUCAUUACAGUGGCAUCUGUUAGUGGGUGUGAAAUGCGAGGCAGAAAGUCAACAUUUUGUCCUCAAAGAUGAUGUGUUGGUGGCUGAAAAAGGGCAACUGUGAGGAUGUGAGUGACUUGGACAAGAGUCAAAUUCUGAUGGCUAGAUGACUGGGUCAGGGCAUCUCCUAAGCUGCAGCUCUGUUUCAGUGUUCCCUGUCUGCAGUGGUCAGUACCCACCAAAAGUAGUCUAAGAAAGGAAAACUGUUGGACUGGUGACAGGGUCAGGGGCGGCCAAGGCUCACUGAUGCGUGCGGGGAGCAAAGGUUGGCCCGUACGGUGCAAAAGAAGAAUUACUGGAAGUAAAACUUUAGAAAAAACUAUUGGUUCUGACAGGAAGGUGUCCAAAUAGAUGUAAAUAGCUGUAGAAGCAUAAGUUUUGUAACUACAAAGCUAUGCUAGAAAAGUAGAAGCCACAAGCUGCGUCUGACUCUAUAUCACAAGGAGCCAAAAUGCAGUGUUCCAGGCAGAGACUAAAUAGUGCUGAAAUGAGAGUUUUCGCUGGCUCCAGUAUAUGAUAAACAAGAGCUUAUUUUGGAGCUUCGAAUCAUGCGAAGCUUCUCUAUAGGUGCUCAGACUGACAUGACGAAAGAUGAAAACGAAUACACAGUUGUUGAUCUCCAUCAUGGGCAAAGCUGUAAGGGCUGAAAAUAUUCAUAUCUGGCGUGAGUCUACUUUUUUCAGUGAUCAGUAGUAAAUUUCUAUCUCCACAUACAGUAAGUUACCUGCCACUAUUUGUAUUAGUUUCUCCACAUAGGUGCAGCACUGACCUGUAUCCACUGUAGAUGAUAAAGUGGUUUUACCUCAUACCCUUUACCUUAUACAACCCUGAUUCAGAGUAUAGAGCUAUCUCUUUAAUUCAAAGCACCCUCUCAGCAAUUCCUUCUCCAUCUGCCAAUCCUGACAAGUGUGUUUUGCAAUCUGACAAACCUUGUAUCUCCUGCCCCAUAUGUCUUCUUACCAUAUCUUUGGUCUUUGCACCAAUUUCCAUUGCAUCCAACCAUGCUGUGUUCAAUCUCCAUCCUGUUGAGGCAAUAUAGCAAUACGAAAACACAGAUGAUUGCCCAACCCUACAGACACAGCAGGCUAUUUUACUGUGUUUUAAGGCUGCAUACUUACAAACCUACAUAAUGGUUUCCUCUGUGUCUCUGCAGAGUGUGUUUUAAUCUUUCCGCUACAUGCCUUUGGGUUCCCACUGUACUGUACUGUCUUUUUUCUUUUCAAAAACACUCCUCAUGGGUGAAUAUCCAGCGAUGGAAAUGCCAAAAGAUUCUCAAUAAACACAGAUGAGAUGAGGAACCCGGCACACGAGCAGCUUUGUAUCAAAACAUACAUCUGCCUUGCCAAAUAUCAAAUCUGUUUUCCCCCAAGUAUUUUAAUGCCAUGCAAAUUGUCAAAGUGUGUCUGCGCCCUGUCGCAUGACAAAAAGCAUUAUUUCCAGCUUCCCUCGCUGUCCUCUGAGUGCAACAGAAUGAGGCAGCCUUGUGAGUGAGUGACUCCCUGAGUUUCACACUUACCCGUUAAAUCACAUCUUCUGGCUUGGAGCUUACUCCACUCAUCUCUUGGAAGUCAGCCAUUUUCAACAUUAUAUCCUUAUCUUAGUUAGUGGAGCCCACCAGGAACAGCUCAGACUGGCUCUUUUAGGCCAUGGAGACUGCCACAGUCAGAUGUAAACUCUUCAUUCAAAAAAGCGAUGACAUUGUUUGGCAGCAGAAUGUUUAUUUCAUCAUAUUGUACUUAAUUCUGCAAAGUUAUACAGAAUACUUUUUCCCCCUCAAUUUUGAUCCCAUGUCCCUUCGGCCCUUUGUUUUUUCUGCUCUCAGAAGUUAGGAAACAAGCUGUUCCAGUAUGGUGUCAGUUUAUUUCCCUGUUGUACUGUGAAGGCAAGAAUACUGGAAUUGACUGACAAAAUGACUAGGAGAGAGAGAGAAAGAGAGUCUUUGUAUCAUUUAUAAAAAAAAAGUGACUGAACUGUUUUACUUAUUAGAGCAAAGCAAAAAGGCUGUAGACUUUGCUGAGUCCCUGAGGGAAAGUCAAAUGGAAGAUGCUUUGUUGUCUAACCAAAUAUUAAAAUAAUUAUCCUCUAGCUAUUGCGCAUGGUUCAGAGAUUGCAAUGUUGUGUUAGUGCAGACAUUAAUAUCUUCCUAAGCAGACUCCAAGCCAAUGAAAAUUCCUGGGAGCAUAAAAGAAUAACCAGAAACAAACAUUGUUGUAAACACUCAGUUAACCACUGAAGUGAUGUUGACCGUGUGACCUGCGCUGUGAUACUCAGUGUAGUCUUGUCAGAUUUGGAAUGGAAUUUAUGACAUCGAAUACAUCAAAUUAAACCCUGGGACAGAGAUUUUUUUAAUGAAUAAAGAUUCACAGUUAUGGGUAAAAGCUAUACCUUGAUGUACAUCUAGUUGCUUGUUGAAAUUUAGCGGAAGUGGGGUCAUCUUGGAGCAAGUAAGGUCAUGUUUUGGUAACUUAAAGAUUUAAAUGUCAUCCAACCAACUAGUCUCAAAGGGAUAUUCCAGCAUGAAAUUAAUUUAGGUUCAAACACACCGGAACACUGGUAUCCGUUAUGCACUGCUGCGGGGUGAAGCAGCUCAAGGAAGAACAUUUAUAAUCAUUUCUUUAUCAUUUCCUUGAAGUAAUAAUCAUCAUAUUAAUCAUUUUGCACUGCAGACGCGAUAGUUCUUCUGCCUCAGUGUCUUGGUCUGAUUGCAUUUCCAUGAAGAAAUUAUCAUAAAUGUUCCUCCUUGAGCUGCGUCACCCCCCUACAGUCCGUAAUGGACUGGCCUGAGGUCUUGCUACAAACAAGCGGCUGCUGGAAGAGAGUAAGUGAGUUGUGUUUAGUCUCUUUGCUAAAGAAAUUAGGCAAAGAUAAAAAGAUGUUUGGUGGCUAGUGCUGUGGCUAGGACCCUAUAUGUGCUGUUGAUGAAGUUAGGUGCUGUUCUGAGCAUUAUUUGUGGCUAUAGAGUGGCAUCUUGGUUGAAGUUUGUUUGUGGCUCAUCAGACCGCUGUGUAUUGCUAUCGUGUGGUCGUUACUGAAGUUGUUAUAACUAGAGAAGCAAGUGGUCAGCAACAAUUAUCUCUUGAGGUGUUGUCUAACUCGGUGUUACGAUGUGUUCGACCAUGAAUUUAUUUUAUGCCAGAAUAUUCCUUUAAGGUUAAAAAAGCUCUCAGAGAAACUGAGCACAAUUGAUUUUACACAGCUAAUUCCAGGAUCACAGUCUUGGUGGGUAAACAGUUUUAAAGUGAUCGUUUUAAUGUGACUAAUCCCAGCAGAGCUAGCACCACCAACCCCUGAUUCUCCUUACAGAUCAGCCUCCUCGUACCUGUGCUGGUUCCUCAACUUUAUCUCCAUUUUUUAGAUCAAGAUACCACUAAACCAUCCCAUCCAUCUUGUGUCCUCGUUUAAAUCAUUAUCAGUCAAAACCAUUAACCGAACUGCAGCUCCAUCUAGAGGGGGGAGGCAGCGCUGCAGCUUUAACCAUCAUUUUGGCCUUUGGUGAUAAAAGAUUAAUUAUCAGUGUAAUCUCUAAUCAGUUCUGGCCCCAAGCUUGCAGUGUGUUACAGUUAAUAGUGUUUGCCAGAAGAGUGUUAAAUAUUUUCAGUUCCCUGUUUCUUAUAUUUUCAGAGAGAAACCAUUUUGUCCUUCUUGAUUCUGAUGCUGAUAGUUGAAUCUGUGGAUCGGUUGAUAUUAUGUGUCUCCAUGAUACCGCUGUGAUGCCCUUAGUCUGCUGAGAAGAAUUGGAGAUGCCCUGUUAUUUGGCCAUGUUGUUUAACUCUGUGUAAUAACCUGUUUUUAAUUUUCUAAACUUUGUGUCAAAGAAAAAGAAAAAAAAAAAUAUUUUUAAUGACUGAUUGUAGAGUGUAUUCUUGCUUUGACUUCUGCUUCCACUCAUGAACAGCCCUGUCGAAAGCUUGUUGUCAACUGAUAAUUUUUUUCAGAUAUCACUUCUCAUUUGUGCCGAGCAAAAAUAAGAUUAUUGUUAAUGCUGCUAUUUGGGAGAUGAUGAAAAGGGCAGAUUUUCUCCCAGGCUAUGAAAUGAUGGGUUGGUGCAUUGAUACGGCAUACUUGGGAUACCAAAUUACACAUUUGAGGCUGUAAUGGCAGCAUUUCUUAUACUAGAAAAGAGACAAGUCCCAGUUUGUGUGUACUAUCUGUUCAAAUAUACAAGAUUUUUGCUCUGGGCUGAACCAAAUUGACUGAAUCGUGGAGUAAUCUAUAAAAUAUAGACGCGAUUUGGUAGUAAAUCAACAUUGGUCUUUUAGGUGAGGUGUAAUGUUUGCACGGGAGGUGUGCAAAGCUUUUAAUGUAUACUGAAGCUACGACACCACCUGAGAAUAUAGACACGCAGUGUAUUUAGAGUAGUUAAUCAUGCUGUACAUCCAUUGUAACAGAUGUUUCCUGUCAUCUGACCUCUGGAGGCUUUUAGCAGUGAGGAAUUAAUAAAGGAACACAGGAAACAGGCACAGAAAUUACACAGUGUUUGAAGUUAAAAGAUUGAGAUGGCAGUAAAGCCAGUAUUACUGUAAUUAGUCGUCAGUGGCACAGCAGGUAUGUCUGUCUCAAACCACAGCUGUCCCUCCUGCCUGCCUGUUAAUGUGCCUUACAUCACAAAGAGGCUGAGUCUCAGCUGCACACAGAGAAGUGUUAAGAAACAGCGACUUCUCCGGCAUGUGGAUCCAUGAUCAGAGAACGUAGUCGCUUUUAUUUUCUAAUCUCAGCUGCCUUUAUUCUUAUAUCUCCACCAGUUUCACCAAAGAGCAGGAGGGUGUUUCAGCAGUUUGUAGAUGAAAAUAUAGACUGAAUUUGAUCAAGCUGUCAUACUGAGAUCAAGCAUUCAUUUAAAAGUGUCCACACUGGAGAAAACAAAUACUCAGCAGAAGGAACAUGUAAACAAAAUCACACAAAAGCACAUGCCAGCAGCUCCAGAAACAACCCUACACGUGUGCUCAUUCAUGUCAGCUGAUUUAUUUUGAAUCAGUGGUAUGCCUGUAACCACGCUGUUUUUACUCGAGGGAAGAGGACUCCACACGAAAAAUUUGUUUUUGAACACUGUAAGCUAAAGACUACAUUCCUCUAUGGUGGUUAACAUCUUUAGAAAGAAUGGGUUUUGGUUUGUGUCCAACGCGGAGGUCAGGGAGUAUAGAGGGACUGAAAUACACACAGUAAGAAUCAUGAACUGAAAACAAAUUACAGCCUACCUUUAUUCUUGUGGAGACACACAGUUUAACAAGGGAUCUUAAAGAUGGACCUUGGUAGAUAAAUUUGAUGGUAGACUUUUGUGGUUCUCCUUGAGUGGCUUGUAAGGAACAGUCUACCUUUGCGUGUAGGGAACUUUUAUGAUCAUAAUCAGAAGGAUGGAAAUUUCAGGGUACAUCACGACACGGAACGAUGCGUUUUCCAUGAUCAUGAUUUUAAUGCAGGCUUUCUUUGAGAACUCAUGAAUUUCUAAAAAAAAAAAAACUGAUAAACUGAGGAAAACAUAAUACUCUUUGACAGUACAGUGCAGCAUGUCUGUAAUUAUUAAUGCCAAUGAAAAGAGUCAUGACGAGGUGACGCUGUGAGCCAAUUUGGAAAGGAAAGGUAGAGCUGCAUUAAUGGAGAUAAAGAAUUGGCGGCAAUAUUAUUUUGUCUAAUACCCAAUAACACAUAUAAGGGACAACAGAGAAAUAUGUGACUGUUAUUAAAUCAAAAUGAGCCUUAUGCGUGCUGUAUGCCUCUGUAGAAUCACUCAAUAUAGCAACAUUUUGGUUUAGUUCUCUUUAAUUGCAAAACAUGAUUGAUAGCCUGGCUAUAUUAGGUACUUGAUUCUGAUUGGUGCUUCAUUCUCAAUUUCCCAAAAGACACAGAGGACAACCUGAGGGAGAAACAUGCCAGGCCCCACAUGUCCCACCCAUGCCUGUUGACACUGUGGCAAAAACACUAGCCUUGAUCAAUGACCCAGUGAGCAAGUACUAAUCCUGAAGAUGUUGUUGAUGAGUAAACCUUUUGUCGGAUCCAGGCCCCCAAUCGAUUGAUCGGGCUCAGCACAAGAUCACAGUUUGAAUAAAACCAAGUCCAUACUUGCAUAUCGUCACCCUAUUAAAAUAAUGGCCUUAGUCAUUUUUUAACGUAAGUGAAUGAGUUUUUGGCCCAAACCAUCUCUUGAUAAUGCUGGCCAUUUCUGGUACAAUCGCCAUGAUCAUGCCAUGAUUCUUUCAACUAAGGAUUUAGGCGAUUUUACCAGAGAUGGCCAGCAUUAUCAAGAGAUGAUUUAGGCCAAAAACUAAUUUUUCGUAAAAAAAGUGACUUAGGCCAUUAUUUUAAUAGGGUGUUGAUAUAUGUGAAUUUCUCUAGAUACUUAAGGUUAAUAAUAUGAUGUUUUGCAAUGUAAAUAUGUAAAAGAAAAUACUCAUGGCUUAGUCCCUUUUUUUUACUACAUCAUCAAAUUGUUGUCAGACUAUCAGUAAAAUUGGUUUAAAUAAGCUGCUUAUGGGCAACUGUAAAGAGACUGUGCUUGGUGAAAUCAACUUGAACAAGCAGCUCAAAUUAAUAUUUUCUAUUUGGCAUGGUUUUGCAAUUCAAACUUUGCAAAGUGCAAAGUGUUACCAUGCCACUCUGAUCAGAUUAAGCUUCUCUUGUAUAGCAGUGCAUCACUUUUACACAGUGAUGAAUCCCUCCUAAACCUCUAAAACCAUUGCCUUUAGUUUGAUGUGGUGGCCACAUGAAAGCAGAGUUUAAAAGACAGAGCAAAAACUCUUUUGAGACUUCUUUGAAGGCAGGAGGUCACUCAGUUAAGUGCAAGGGCAUCAGCCCACAGUGCUUUACACUCAUUUCUUCUUAUAUGCUGAAUCACUGAAAAACCAUUGCAGAUACUCUACUACUUCUAUAUUUCUCACUGAUAGCCCCUCUCCUGGUUUUACCUUGAAGAUUUGUACUUUAAGAGGAGUUGCAUUUAAAAGUUACAUGUGUGGUUCAGCUCACAGCUACACCCUUAAAUUGGUUUUCACCUUCAGUCUGCGUCUAGCAGCUUGGGAGGACACUAUUAACCUCUAAUCACUAAUGUAUUAUACUUUAUCCUCUAGCCAAGGUGCCUAUUUAACGUACAGGAGGCAAACUCCCCUCUACAAUGAACAAGCUGCUUAAAAAUCACUCUCCUUUUUUUUUAUUUAUCUUUGUGAAUGCAAGACUGUUCUUUUUUUUAUUCUAUUUUUUUUUUUUUAGACCUAUUAAUCAUUCCAACAAACUUUUUCUCAUCCACAUCCUCCUACGUAGAUGUACAUCCACUGCCUGUUUUUCUUCUCAGGAAAUGAAGAACAGGGCAAAGGUGCAAAACUCUAAAAAUCUGAGUGUGUUUUUCCGCUGGGUGUACUAGCUUUCCAAAUUUUUCAUUUGUGGUUGCUGCAUAUGUCUCGACAUUGAUUUAUAGGCUGUAAAACAUCAGUAACAGUCAUUAUACCCCCGUAAAUGAACUGAUUACUCUGGUACUAGAGGUUCUCUUUAAAGCGUCUUUGGCUGUCGUGUUUUCUUACUUGUUGGUAGUUUACAGAACAAGUGGAGGAGAUCAGAGAAGAUAUCCCCCGCAUACUCUGUGGUAUUGUACACUUUUAGAGGAGGGCCACGUCACAGUUCUCCUCUCACAUCAUGAUGCAUUGCAGUUUGCUCUUGGAUUUGGCUGAAGCACUAGGGGAACCAGGCGGUUAUGAAGGAGGUGGUGAUUGAUUGUACUAUACUGGCUGUGUAGAAUCACACCACUAUAAUAUCCCUCUGAAGAGGGCGGACCUCAGCUUCAGCUGUAGGAGGAACAUAGAGUUUAUCCUCUGCAGGAUCUCCCUGUUAAUAGAGGGGAUUUAAGACUUAAAAAGGAAGGAAGUGAGGAGAAAUUUAGAACCGUAUUGGGUAUUUAAAGAGUUGAUUGCUACAUUUAAGCUGAAGAGCAGGUCACACAUUCAGCAACGCAUCCAUUCACUUAAGUCUCUUGUGUUGCCUCAGAUUACCUUUACUGCAGCAUACCACCCACACUACACAGUAAACUCUAGCAAAGCAAUGCAGCUUAAGUUCUUCUGCAAUUUAUAGAAUGAUUAAAAAACUCACUUGAGAUACAGAGGCAACAAAAUAGACUCAUCUCUGAUAUCCUCCCGCACAUAAAUAUGUGAAUGUCAAAGGUAUGUCAAGCCGCUGUGUGGCUCCUUCUGUAUCUGUGUGUUAUUGGCCAGUGAAUCUUGCAGCCCAGCCAAUCGGAGCACUGGGGGGUGUAUGAGGACUGAGUUGCUGUACUGGAAGGCCUUGGGCAGAGUGCACCAGCUGGGUAUGAGCUACCGCGUUGACCUAAAUAUUAGUGUUUGUUCUCUAAAAACUUUUUUCACCUGUUAUUUUCUUGGGAACAUAAAAACUUUAUUAGAUAGGGUGGUUAUAUAGGAGCUGUCUUUGUGGACUCAAAACGAGGAUCUGAUACAAUAAACUACAAAGUGCUUCUUUCACAACUUUCCCAUAAUAAUUUUUCCUGCAGCGCUUUUUGCUGAGUAAAGUCAUACUUGUCAAACAGGAAACAAGCUGAACAAUACAAACUGGAACUUACACAGGCAGCACACCUUAGCUGCUCAGUUGGAGUUCCACAAGGCUCCAUACUGGAGCCAAUCCUGUUUAGCUUCUAUGCAAAUGAUUUCUCAAAUGUUUGUCCAGACACUAAAAUGCAGUUUUAUGCUGAUAACACAGGUUUAUACCAUAGACUGUGGAUAGAAUGGACGCUGUCUGCCUCCUCACUGGGUGUAGCCACUCCGAGAACAGCACCCUCUGGUGAUGGGCUGCAGUCUAGGUCAUAAAUCCCACCUCCUCUAGGAAUCCCUAUGGAGUUGUGGACGAACUUUAGAAAUUAAUUACACAGAAUAUAAUUUUUUCUCCCCCCGGUUGCGAUGUUGACAUGUAGUUACUGUAAGACUGGUUUGUACUCAGGUCCUCUUAUUUCUGUGCAGCUCCAUUUUUAAAAGUUAUUAGGGGGUUCAUGUUUUCUAUGAUUGACACUUGAUACAGCCUUUGGGCAUACAAAGAUUGCAUAGCUAACCCAGGGGAUAUGCUGUUUGAGCCGAGCAUCAUCACAGUGACUCUCCCUUUGAAUGUGUACAGUGUUACUGCACAAGUUAGCGAUAGUGCAAAUCCAGCAUAUAUUCAUUGAUGAAUACUGCUAAAAUAUUAAUGCAUUUGUUGUCCUAAAUGAAUACACUUAAUAAACAAAGAAAAGCAAGUGUAGAGAUGUAGAAAGAUGUCAGGUCUACUAAACCUGACAUCUACUAAUGAUAUCAGGUUCUGUCACACAUGUUCUUGUCGACUCAUCACCUUUAGAUUUUAUACUUUUUGGAACUCAUGCAGCUUGUUUUGUUCACUGUGUCUCUCUAUCUUGUACCCCCUUAACACUGUAGCAAUAAGUGAUGACUGACUUGGGUCAUGAGGGGAUACACUUGUGUUACAGAGCUGUCUGUGUUUACAGAACUAGGGCAUUUAAUAGCUAAGUCCUGAAUGAAUCCCACAAGUAUUUUUAUGAGGGGAAAACUGUCUUACUUUUAGGUCAAUAAAGAAAGCUUAUCUCUUACGCGAGACUGUACCAUGACUGACUCUUUAACUUGAUCUCGCACUAGUGCACCAAGUCUGAUCAAGGAUGGCUGUAGCUGGACCAGGACUUAUCCUCUCUGAGUGAAUGUUACAGAAAAAGAAAGUGAGGACAACACAAACCAAGAGGAAAAAUAUGGGCAGCUAAAUGUGGAACCUUUAAUGCAGAACACAACAAACAACAGCUCUCAACAGGGAAAUCUAGGGGGCCUGUAACCAAGCUCAUCAUUAUACAGCAGAACAGAGAGAAUUACCCCUUUUUCACUGGACUCAACUGCACCGACAGUGCAGAGCAAGGAGCUUCAUUUGCAUAAAACCUGAGGGGAAUCAGCACCUGCAGAAGGGGACAGUGCUGUGGUUCUGUCCGACACAUGCUGGAGUUUAGGGGGGAGCUCUUUAAUUAAAUCAAACAAGGUUUGCCUGCCAAAACAAAAACCUUAAAAUCUGCUCACCGUCUGAGUAGUUUCCAAUCACGGAUGACUUUCUCUCCUUAGUGCCCUUUAAUAAAUCAUACUGAUAACAGGGUCUGUUGCCAUCACAUUUUAUGUUACUUUAUAUAGGCCCACUAGUCUGACUUUAUAAAGUAUCACAGGAAAGUUGGACCUGGGUCUAACUGGUGCGAAUGGAAAUAAAGUUGCUGAAACUUAUACAACUUUGUACCAUUUGAUAAAUACUGAAGUUGCAACAUGGUUUAACUAUGCUGGAGUUAAACUUUGUUAAGUUUGUCAAAGCAUGUGCGCUGGAUUUCACUGUUGCAUAUCUGUUUGAGGAGCUUUUAUUUUGUAAGAUUUUACCUGGGUGACAAAUGGUCAUCAUAUGUUUCAAGGAUGCUCAUUACUCUCAUACAGGUGUAGCCACUUCAGCGGUCCAGCCUUAUGUAAAUACUUUUCAUGACACUUAAAAUUUGCUUCAGAAUCGUCUCCACUUCUAAUUGCUGUUUUGCCAAAUUUUGCACAUAUUUAGCAUAAAACCGGACUCAUUAUUUACGACUCUCACUGCUCUUACCAGAGUUGCUAUGUUGAUCCUUGUUAGAUACCUCUUCAGGUGUUAAUUAGGUUCUUGUUCCAGGCAAACAUUGUUAGUUGUAGCACUCCUGAGUGAGAACAAGGGGACUUUUUGCAGAAGAGACUGGAGGUUGUGACGGCGUCUUAUGACCUGUAUGGACACUUGUGGCAGUGUCACGAUUUUGCACCUGUUCCAGCUCAGACAGCUAAGUCAGCACUGAGUCAAGUGGAGUGAAGUGCUUGUUAACCAGUUCAAACUUGCUGUAUUAUUUGCAUAUGAGCUCUUUGGAAACCGCAAUGCAACAUUUAAUGGUUUUUAUGCAGGAAUCUUUCACUUCCAGUCCUGCAAGUUUGAAACUUUCACUGGCAAAUUUACAUCAGAGAAAAAAAAACAGAGGAAAUAUCACUUUUUGAUGAAGCUGAGGUCUCACGCAGUCGAACAGUAAGAAACAUCAUGACUGAAAUGUGAUUGUUUUUUGAUUUUCGAGACAAAAAACUGAACCAGCAGCACAGGAUGUAAAAUAAACACAUGAUUGCAAACCACUUAACUUCUGCCUGUAAUUGGAGAAUGUAAAAUGAAAGACAUAAUAAUUAUUAUGUACAGUUUAUCAUCUCAUUGCACAUCAGCAGUUAAACCAGCAUGCCCAGCUGUUUUAGUUACACUAACUGUGUGCACCCCGAUGUGUGCACCAUGCUAUGACAGUCAACAACUUGUGAUGAUAAUUAUCUCACCAACAAUACCUCAGCCCCAUGAUUUCCGCCAUCAUUUUAGGAAAUGAGGACAAAGCAUAACAGGAAAGGGUUCACUUAACUGCAGGAGCAGGGAUGAAGAUAAAACAGGCUUGGUUUAGGAUAACGAUUAUGUGGGACGUUUCUUUUUUUUGGCUGAAAAACACAAUGACCAAACUGCUCCUCUCACAGAGAAAACAGAAUCUGAAACCAUUUAGACUAUAAUAUUUCGCUAGUAUUUCGCUGGAGGCAGAGUUUUCCUCUGCCUCCAUCUAUAUGUCUUAUAGAUAAAACUCCAAGACUUUGAGAACAAAGUCUUCAAUUUACAAGAAUAAAGUGACCCUUUUUUGAGAGCUGAGUUGCAACAUUAUAAGAAUAUAAACGUUAUAGAAGAGUGAACUAAAUCAAGUCAUAAUGCAAGACUAAAAUAAGGAAUUUAUUCUUAUGAAGUCCUGAUUUCAGUCAUUGUUGGUCUGUAAAUUAUGUUGACUAGGAACAGUCUGCCGCCUACAGUAAAUGAGGAACAUGAAGGAUCUUGUAAAGUUAUUCUUUUGUAGAGUUUUACUGAAUCCACAGUCUUUUAGCACAUUUGCACCACAUUGUCAUGGAUAUCAGGAUUCUGAAUUGAGUGUUCGAGACAUUAAGUCCAUUAUGAGGGAAAGCAGGCGACAGUGCAGCCUGAGUGUGGUUCUGCGUGACUUUAUUCUUGUAAAUCUACAAUUUCUUUUCGUGUAAAUUUACAGCCUUAUUUUCAUGAAUUGAUUACUCUCCUUCAACUUUAUUCUUGUGAACUAAAAGUUUUGGCUAAAAUGUCAACUUUGUAUAAAUUAUUCUGACAGCGGCAGCUCAGCUCGCAGCCCCCCUCACUUAAGUGCAUUAGAAAGACACUGACCUUAAACAUUUCCACUAGUUUGAAUAACAGGGAGUGUCUGCUCCAAAGUGGAUAAAACAGCUCCUUUUAUAACCCAAGUGAUGAACCCUCAGUGGGUCUUGUUAAUGAGCUCUGAUCCUUGAAGCAGUCAGAGCUAAAAUUAACAGCAGCUCAGGUAGCCUCCCCAUGCUGAAUCUGCAGAAAAGCACCAGAAAUAGAGUGGUCUUUGUGAGAUUUAUAUUACUCAUUUUCACUAGUUUUACUUUUUAUUGCCUGGAAGAAAAAAGUUAUAGCCUGAAAACUAUUUCAGGGUAAAUUUGGUCCAUAAGGGAGCUGUCAGGGUUUAAAAUUUCCACCUCAUGACUGUUGUGGCCCAAAAUUUUUUAAGGUACUGGUACUAUUUCGGUAUAAUAUUCAGAAUACAAGCUAUCGCUCAAAGAUUAUUAAGACAAGCAAGGGUAGAGCAGCAUGUUACUGUCCUAAUAAAUGCAGCUGACUUGAUGGUAUUCAAAGUUUUAUCCAUUUCAUCAGCCAUGUGGCAGGAAGCUCUUCUCUUUUUUCUUUUUUUACGAAAUCCAUAAAUCUCCCAAACUGUGGAGGACAUUUUUUCUUGGGUGGUAGAGUACAUUGCUUUCAUCUGUCAUCUCCUAUGACUUGAUUUGCGCUGCAGCCACACACUGUCUGUUAUGCAGAGUUAGCUAGCUGGCUGUUCGCUGAGUCUUCUCCUCGCUGCUGCUACAGCCCCCUACUGUAAACCAGUUGGUUUCAUGGUACUACCAUAUGCUUCUUUUAUGCCAUAAUUAAUAAUUUAAUAUUUUCAGAAAGACAGUUAUCGUCAAUACUGGUAUGUUGCGACAGCCCCACUGCAUAAUUUAGCUAUGACUUGAUUUAUUUAUGAUGAAUCUGUCUGGUUCUUUUAAGCCAAAGUCUGCAUCAAGGUUCUUCUCAGACUGACAGAAUCAAAGUUGAAUAUGGAUAUCGAUUGAUUAAAACAUUAAUUUGCCAUACUGUAUACUCAGCUCUAUACAGGAAACAACCAGAGUGUCGAAGAACAGCAACAGCCUACUUUUGUAAUCUCAAAGGAUUCAUAUAUAUAUAUGAAGUGAAUUCUUACUGUAAGCCUGCAGAAAUGUGUAUUUUAAUCAUUCUGGCUUCUCAAAAGCUAAAUUCCCUCCAUAUACGUGUCCCAUGUGUGAAGAAAAUAGUUUUUCCCUAAGAUCUGUAGCAGUUUGGGGUCAGGAAUCGUACAAGCAGACUCAGAAGUGAUAUAACUUUUUUUUUUUUUUUUCCCCCACUAAUAUUUUAUGCAAAACAUAGUCGGGGAAACAUUUCCUCCUUCAGCUGUUAAUAUAUAAUGUUUAAUCCACAGUUUUAUACAGAAAUGCUUCAUUACCAGGGGAUUAUCUUGCAUUUCUUAUAGAGCACCCCUCCAGUGAUAACAGCAAAAAAAAAACAAUAAAUCUAAGUGCUUUUAAUUACAGUAUUUUCCUGUAUUUAUGUUUUUGUUUUAACCCUUUAACUUCCCAUCAUCCAAAUGAACAGCUCUUCAAAAAUGAGUCUCAUAUCAGGGUUUUAUCCUGGUCUGGUCACAGGAGCCACAUGGAGCUGGUCUCUCCUUUGUUCAUGUUUAACACAGUCCCAGAAUAAUGAACCAGUGGAAUACCAACCAUCCAUCAGAUAAGAGGACACACACACACACACACACACACACACACACACACACACACACACACACACACACACACACACACACACACACACACACACACACACACACACAUUAAUACAGGGCAAAGGUUCUAUAAAUUACAAUGCCGGCGUGUGUGUGUGUUUGAACCGGUGGAGAUGAACAAGGCACGCCUUUCAAUUAUGCCCCCCCCCUUCCCUCACACUCACUUAUUUCUCAUGACUCAACAAGAAGCUCCAUAAAUGAGGCUAAAGGCUCUGAGGUCCUGUCCUCGCAGAGGAGAUCCUCCCUCAGUUGCUGACUUUUCUGCAGUGCUGUAUCAAAAACUAAACACUGAUAUUUACCUCCCCUUCUCUAAUGUCACAUCCUUAAACCUCCUUUAGCAUAAGUGUAGACUUUGUCCCACUGACUUGCUGGUUAAGGUCCUUGCGAUUACUGCUGUUUCCUAGUUGUUGCUAACACUGCGUGUGAAUCAUACAUACCGUCAACCCAUAACACAGCGAACACCAGGGAAAGCUAAUGCAAUCUGAUAUGACAGCUCUACUAUCAACUCUACUUUCAGGGAGUUUCUACAUUUUCAGUUUCUGGUGACAAGAUAAGACAAUGUAUUUCUACUGAAGACGGAGUGGGUGGUAGUCAUAUACUGGAGUGUGUCAUAUUGAAAGAUAUUUCAUGUAUUUUUUCCCAUUUUAUUAAUACUACAGGGUACUGUUUAAUCUGUUAUCUAUUCUAGUUCCGACUCCAUUUCCACUUAUCAAUACUAGUUCCUAUCAAUUCUUCAUUCCAAUAAUCAGUAUUUUUGGAGAGUAGAAAACGAUGAAUAUUUCACAAAUGAAAUGAGCUUCCCCUCAACGUUGGGAUGGGUGCUCUCCAAUGCGAACUGUGACAGAGAUUUGCCUUUUUCCUUCAUUUUUAGAAAUAACAAAUACACUCUUUCCUAUAAGGACAGAGCAACAAGAAAUAUAACAAACCAAAACUUAUUACUUUUUAAUGCUAGUAAUUGGCCUGACUGGUUGGUCUAUGGCUAAAGGAGACUGUAGUACACAGAAUAAAGUAUAUUCCUUCAUAGAUAAAUUCUGAAGAAGAGACCUUGGUUAGACCAGCUCUUAACCCAAACUAUAAUGCCAUGUUUACAUGCAGUAGAUUUGUAUAAGGUGCAAUUUCACAUCACAAAUACACAAAAUAUUCUUGAGUGCUGUCCCUCAAGUAUCUAGCAAAUAAAACUUAAAGUCAAAAUCUGUGACAUGUGUAGAGAUAUUAACAGUUUUUUCUGCUUCCUUUCAACUAUUUCCUGCACCAACUUUAAUGAAUUUUGAGUGUAAGGAAUUAAGAGCCGCACCAAUUGAUUAGAAUUGUAGUCACUUAAUCUGGUAAUUACUCGUAAAAGACUUUUUCGUUAAAUUGCCAGAAAGAGGAGAAAUAUACUUUGAUUAAAGAAAAUUUGCCCAUUAUAUCAAACCUACGGUAUCCACAAAUUUCAAUGAACAUAUCAAAAGAAGAAAUUUUUUAAGCUGCAAAUGUUUGACUACAUUAUAAAAAUGUCAGAAAUUAUUAUUGUUAUAUAUGUAUUUUUAAUGUAAGAUGACUUCUUUCAUUUCAAUGGACUGCUUUGUUGUUGGAAAAAAUCUGAUUUGAAAAAAUACAACCUGAAAGAAAAUUAGUCAAGAACUGUAAACUUGUCUGGAGCCACAAAAUACAUGUAUUUAUUUAUCUAUUUUAUUAUUUGUCUGGGAGUUAUUGAUUUCCAUGGACAGGUUGUAUUCACAGAAACUCCUUGUCCUUGCCGUUGGCCGACUCUUCUGCCAAAUUUCAUUAUGAGUUCCUGCAAACCAACAAAUAAACAAAUGGAAAUAAAAACACUUUUACCUCCCAAAGGCAAUAAAAAAGAAACACACUAAAACGUGUCUGAUGAUACCUUCACAAAGAACGAGAAACCUUCCUACAGUCGAACACAUGUCUGUUCCCAAACUCAUACACGGUGAAAGAGGAGGGAUCACGGAUUGGUUUUCCCAAGGUGAUCACGCUGAAGCUCAGCUUUGCAUGUGCACUUGGCAGGAAACAAAACCUCUGAGAAAGCAGGGGAGAUGUAAUUUGUAUGUAUACAAAUGUCAAAAUGUCAAGGCAUGUAAUCCUUUCAAGAGGUGCUGAGGUCUUUGGUUAGAGCUUGGCUCUGCUCCAGACUCUAACACCACAAAAGUGCUUACUCUAAGUUCUGGAGGUGAACGCUGAGUUGUGAUCCCACUUACCUCUUACCUCUCUCUCACACACUCUCCUGGGCACUCUCUUCCUCUCUCUCUCCUGCUUUGAAGGGAUUAUUUUGAUAUCAGUACGUAUGGAUUUACAGUAGGGCGUACUGUACAUCCUGAGUGGCAUUUUCCAUUUUAUUUAAUGCUGCAGCACAAUUUAAAGCAUGCUUUGCUCAGGCGUGUGGGGGCUGUGGUGGUGUACUUGCAGCUCAAGUAGUCACAUCACCACGUUUCUCAACCUCUUCACCCAAUGAUGCAUUGUCUUUACUAGGGUUGGUUGCACCACCCACAUAGAUGCAGGUAAAUAUCUGAGUCUUGGCACAACAUCUGACUCAGUGCAUGAUCAGUCUAUAACAGAGGACUUGAUUAAAAAAUGAGAAGUCAUUAUUUCCACUAAAUCAUCAAGGAGUCAUUUGGCUUAUUGGAAAUUUGAUGAAUGUUUGAAGCUAAUAAGAGCAAAAGAAAAAGCACCUCAUCAUCAACUGUGGAAUGUGUUAAAGAUAGACUCUAAAUGCUUUAAAUAAACAUUUCAUCAAGAAAAAUAUCCAUCUGUUUUUCUUUAUGAGCAGCCCAUCAAAGUCCCCAUCAUGCCCAGACUUUAGGCUUUCAAAAACUUUAUGUUUUUCAAUUAAUUUUAGUGAAGGAAAAAUAGUUCGCAUUCAUUUCCCAUGAAAUUUUGCCCAAAGUCCUGUUUUUUUAAACUCUAUUAGUGAUUUUUUUCAUGCAAUUAACAAAUCCUUUGGCAUGUUCCUUGUGGUUUUUAAGACUUUUUAAAAAUUCCUCCCUAAUAACUCCCUCUGGGGUUUUAACCCACAGUUAGUCCUCCUUCCUAAAGUAACCCUGAUAAAAAGACUGAACUCUUUAUUUGAUAUUCUAUGUAUUCCUCCACUGCCUUUUAAAAAUUCUGUCCAACGUCUGUCCUCCCACCACUCCUCUGUCUUCUUCUACUUACAGCAGCUGUUGCUAGGCAACAGCUCAUGGCUCCAUUAGGAUAUUAAUAUUUACAUAAAAACAAUAUUCAUAGCCUGCGAAUAGACUAUUAGGUAUUUAGGUUGUAUUGUGGGGUUAUAUAUGGAAAUUUAAAUGGGUACACUGAAGGACAUUUCACUAUUUUACUUAGUAUAAUGUUAUUAUCCAAGUAUAAACAGAGUUUUGCAAGGACUACAUUACUACUUAUUUAGUCUUGUAUUUCUAUAAAUUGUGUUUUAGGAACAUGAUAAAAGCACUUCCUCUUAAAUUAGCUACACUGUUGAAUAAAUGAUCGCAAAUUGUCUUCAGAAUUGAUGACACACAAAUUUAAGUCCAUUAAAUGUCCUGAAGCAUGCAGUUAUCUGUAUAAAUAUAAUUUUUUCAGAGCCCUUAAUUGCAUAACUACAGUCUGUGUUUGAAGUAACCCAAGGAGGCUCGAAAGUUUUGUAGAUUUGUGGUCAAACUGUCACCUUUUUGUUGUACUAACCAUCUCUGGUACAUGCAGACACACCUUCACUAUUGUCAAACUUUACUGAAGGAAUAUGAUUAAAAGCUUUUUUUGGACAGGAAGAUGUAUGGCACUUUGUCUUCAUCUACCAGCAACAAUUUUUGCAACUGUUUUUAAAGGAGUAGUCAGCGUUCUUUCGUGUUGUCUGGUUGGCCUAUGUAUGUUGAUCAUAAAGAUAUCAGAAUGAAUUUGAAUGUCUCUUACACCGAUUUAAAAACUCUUGUGACAGGUGCCAUAAUAUGAAUUUGAGAUAUGUAGAAAAUUGACCGGAGACAACCCAGAAGCCAAAGUAAGGUAUGCCCCAAAAUCACAGAAUUUCUAACACUCGAUGACCCGCCUAUUUCUGAAGGAUUUUGCCAGCCAGGGACGCAUUUAAAAGAGUACCUUGAGUCGCUGCUACUUUGUAGAAGUAUCUCUAUUUACCGUGUAUAAUUAGCUGUCUACACACAUUCACAGCCUGAUCCACAACAACAGCAGUGACACAAGUAAGAUCAGUGAGUGUGCUCAGUUUGAUGUUGGCCCAGUGGCUGGACCAAGACUUAAGCAUGAAAAAAAGAGAGACUGUUGCAGGCACAGGAGUGCUUAAGCAGUUAGAUCAUUAUACUGUGAAGCAACUCUCACUGUCGCUUUAUACUUAGAUGUCUUGCUGUUAAAAGCUGCUCUUAAAGCAGUGAGCAGUUAUUGCAUUGAGGACAUUGUGCAGCCAAUUUGUCGUGUGAAAGUGAAAAUGAAAUGCCAAGUAUGAAAUCUGUGCAGCUGGAGUUGCCUGCCUGGAGUAGCUCAUGGGCUUUGCUUCAUUUCAACAGGUGGAAACAGGUGGAAACAGGUGGAAUUGUUAGUGUAUAAUGCAAUAAUUUAGUAUUUUAUCAGAAAUAUAACUGGCAGUCAGGCAGUCUGUUACACUUUUUCAAAUACAAAGAAUCUGUGAAAUAAUAUUUGGAACCUUUUGUAAGAGGCCAUCAGGAGCAAGUUUUCACUGUCUAGUAGGAAUGGUUUAAAAUUUCAGUUUUUGCAUCCCUAGUUCAUGAAAAAACCACUAGCCUUGACUGAAGAAACUAGAAAGCUGCUCCUCACACAGUUCAGGCUUUUCCUUAAUUUGGUUGAAACCAACUUCAGCUAAAUGCUGGAAAAGACACGACUAUGAGCUCCUCUUUGAUUAUGAUGAUUUUUUAUUUUUUUUUACUGGGGUCUGUCGUGUACUCACAGUUUGUAAAACUGCAAAUGUAAGGACUUCUGUCUGUGGGCUAUGCACUCAAUCAUUACUCUGUUAUGGCUCUCAGGAAUAGAUAGUGACUUAAUUGACAGCUUGGAGAUUAUGACUUUAAGUUUAAUAUGUGAAGCCAGAUUGAUCUGCUAAAAGGCUGAUUCAGCCAUGUUUCUUUUAACAACCCUGGAAAAGUACAAAGAUUAUUUUUAUCUCCGCAAUGUUCGACAUCCAGUGUGGCUUUAUAUGGAUAUCAUCUUGUCUUUACUGCUGUAAUCCUCUCUUCUCCACCCCACCUGCUGUGCUGUAGCUGUAGAUAGUAAAGCGCGCUCAUCACAGCACCAUAUUAGCACUGUCCACCGUCUGGCUGUCUCUCAGCUUUUCAGUGGUUUUCUGAGAUUUUACAGAUCCCUCUUAAGUCUUGAAAAGGAUGGUCCAUUUCUCCAAUGUUUUAAUUCCCCUAAAAGACAGCCUGUGAUCUGAGAUUGUCAGGCCAAGCCCCUCAUGGACUUUUUUAAAUUCCUGGCAGCAGACCAUGUACAGUAUAGGUGAUUGAGCUACUGCCAUCAGGGCCAAUUGACUCUGAGAGUCUUGCCAGGGGGAACUAAAAAAACAUCCUUAGACCUUUAUAUUUAAAUAGAUAUUCAGAAUUUUAAUCCUUUUAAUGUCCUUUGAGUUUUGAUCUUUUUUUCUUUUAGCUUUUUCUGCAGUUUUAAUUUGAAUCUCAUUACUUCUUAUAUGGAAAUUUGGUUUGUCUUUUUAUCUGAUUCUUGUAAAUCUUUGAUGUAUUAAUGCCAUCUAUGACCAUUAACUUUGAAAACACACUGUGAUGGAAUAUUAAUAUUAGUAACAUUAAUAUUGGAUAGGGACUUCUGCAUUAAACACAGCAGACCUUGCCUACAGUCAGGGAGCCUGUAUCUCAGUGCUUGAAUCAUUCUUUCUGUGACCUAUUGCUGCUCAGUUUACUGAAGCAAUACCCAGAAAUUUAUCAAGUCUGUAAGAGCGGGAGAGCUGAUCAAUAAUUCAUUUUGUCUUUACAGUUAUAACCACAUAAACAAUCCUCGCUGUUACAUUAGUGCUCUUACAUUGCAGGAGCCAGAGCGAAGUGGCAGCCUGUCAUUUGAACGCCUGAACAGUCGGGAAGUCAUCUGCCAGCUCAUCAAAGCAUGGAAAAGGGCAGAGACUGUUGCUGCCACUGCCAGCGGUCUCUCUGCCAACGCAGGUAACCACAUGUUUAGCAUAAGACACUUGCGGUGCACUGAGCUCAUUGCAGCUGCCACUGAAGCAGCAGGCGUGCUCCUCUGACUGUGUGAGACUCUCAAAACCAAAACCAUGACGUCCAGAGCAUCCGGCCAAGAAUAGUUAGGGUAAUCUUUAAUGGGUUUAUACAUCCUACCAUGUGUUAUCAUUUCCUGCCUGUUCAGAAGACAUGUUUCAUUACCAUUUUCUGCCCCCUGAUAUCAGUUCUUUUGCUUCGGCUUGAGUACGUGUUGUAGUAAGUAACAAUAAGAAACGAGUACAAUGUUAAAAAAUAUACAAAAUCCUGGUGGGAGGAUGCUGAGCGCUGACAUUUUGCAAACUUUACAUCCUGCAGCACCACACUGUUGGAGUUUGCAUACUCAGAAUGAUAGGAAUUAUGACCUUUAAUUCAAAUCAUGGUACUUCUUUUGCUUUUUGCAGCAUGGCGUUAUUUCCAGUAUCAAUAAAUAAUAAGUAUUGUGUUAUAAAUUUUUCAUGAUUGUAGAAAAUACCAAUUUUUGCAACAUACCUCCAGUAGAAAGACUACUUUAAUGAGUCAUACAGAAAAAAGAGCUUGUGCAUCUGUGCCAUUUUGAUGCUACACAACCAUUGAUGUCCAUCCUCUUCGUUUUAUCAAGAUUUCCCUCAUCAAACUGUAGAGACUAAUGAGCUUGCCUGAGCUCGGCGUUUCCAUCCUGAAAAAACAGAUAAAUACGCAUCAUGUAACAUUUGCAAUAGGAUGUUUUAUGGAGUGCAAGUGCUUAUAUGAGAAAUUGUGACGUGGAGAGGAAUGCAAAGGGCGUCAGCAGCUGGUAAGAAGUCCUGGUACACCAAGAGGUUACAUAUCAGAGUAGAAUUGUUGGGGACUGGAGUGUUCUGACUCACUUAUAGAACUGAUUGUUCUGCAAAUGCAAUCUAGCGUAUAUUCCUGAACUAUGACGUUUGUCUCUCUCCCUCACGCAAGUAUGUAAUGCGAUACUUUAAUGUUUGUGCCGGAGCCGAAAGAAAGAUGUUUUUAGAAGUCACUCUGCAUUCAGAUCUCAGUGCUGCGCAGCUUCUGACUGAAUCUGUGAUUUAAAUUUUUUUCUACUUUCCUACCUGCCUGUUUGUGAGCUGUGUUAGCUUACUACCACUGGAAGAAAUGUCAUUUUCUUACAUAGCUGAUUUGAAAGAAGAACUGGGGUUUGAAAAGCCAAGGGACAUGGUGAGCAUGAUGAAAGAGGCUUUAGUGAGUGUGCACUAACAAACUAAUGACUGCUAAAAAGUGAGAGGCAUUGUUCUGAAUGAUAAUGAACCACAAGUCAAAGUCUUGAUGCUUUAAAGGACAUUUCAUAAAAACUUAAAAAGAUAAAAGGAUUUGUUAGAUCUUGAUGAAAAAACGCUGUUCAAGUUGUGCAUUGAGGUUGUGAAAUGAAGAUAAUGUGAAGGAUAAGAUCACUGUGAUAAUGUAUAUAUGCAAGGACAGCAGCCACAUAAGGAAUAGAUGAAACCAAGGGCAAGUGUUUCUUGUUGAAAUUGUCUGUUGACCAUAUUUGGAAAUGAUGACGUCCAUCAGAGAAGACUGAGAAAGCGAGGAUAAAAGACUGUGAACCUCUACAAUCAGGGACCACCUCUGUGUAUCUACUUGAUACACUGUGCUCCAUUCUUGCAAGAAUUACCUGUACUUUCACGACAUAUAUCCUGAGCUUUAGCGUCUGCCUCUUGCUAUUUCAGAAAGAUUUUUUCUAUCAGGUCUGCAGCCUAUGAUUAAAUUUAAGAGGCGAAAGAGCUCAAAUCCUUCAAUUUUACCCAGACACAUUGUAAAAACACCAAAUAUGAAUAUGAAAUAUGCCUUCAAAUGAAGUGAAGUCUGAUUUUGUGUAGGACUGUUGCAUGCUUUUUUUAGUGGUAGUGGAUAUGCCUUUUUAAAAAGGUGUAUUUGUGCUUUAGUUAUCAAAAUAGGUAGGCUAGACAGGAUUAUCAACUUAUUUGGUUUUUCAAGGAAUCAAGAGAUUUUAAGGCUUUGAAAAGGUUUCAAGUCAAAUCAGUCUCAAUCAAAAUAAUCAUGAUUAUGAUUUUUGUCAAAAUCAAGCAGCCCUAACUUCUGGUGUUAAGAAUUUUUCUCAAAUAAGUUGAGUGGAUCAUUGAGUCAACAUAGUUUUAGAGAAGCUACAAUUAGCAGGGAUGUCAGUGAGUUAGAGUGUUACAGGUCACUUCCUGGGACUAUGAGACGCAGUCACAUGUUGGCAUCAGUUGAGACUCUGUCAUAUCAGAGAGCUCUGUUACUCCCUCAUUAUCAAACUUGGAGGAAAAACAGAGGAUAAGUUUGCCUGACCACCAUGAAUCACUUUCAUGUUAAUUAUGACUCUUGCUUUGACAGAGCUAGAGAUGAGCGUGGCUCUGCUCUGAAUGGAGUGUCAGGGUUGCUAUCACCGCCAUCACCAUUCAGUUACACUGCUUUUUUUUUCACCUGCCACCUUGGCUGCAUUAAUGCUAGGGGAAGCAUAUCUUGGCCAUGUGUGCACUAAAACCAAAAAGUGUGUGUGCAAGAACCAAAUGAGUGCUGACAGUGCAGCGUGUUGUGACAGACAUCGGUGACAGUCGUGAAACAGUCAGAUCGCCCACAUGUAAUACUCACCAGAAGCCCAAAGGCAAAACUAGAGGCCUGUACUGACUCGAGUCUUGGUAUCAGAACAAUUGUAAAUUUAUGCCCAUCACAGUCCAACAGGGCCAAAAGUAAAGGCCAAGCAGAAGUUUGUUUUUGUUUGAAAAAGUGUGCAAAAAUAUUCUCUUGACACCGGCAUAAACAGAGCAAAGCUCCAUUUCUAAUUUAAAAAGCUGGGUGCUAAGGAUAUCUGACAUUUUCUUUUGGCUCUAUUGGUAACAGUUACUCACCCUCACACCUACAUACACUACUGUUAUAUAUCUGCACUCUUCCUCUGCAGCUAUUCCUACAUGACAACCUGGAUGCUCAGUGCACUUUAAUGACAGACCCGGCGCUGCUUGACACUCUGCCAGGGAUCACCAGCACAUCCAGACUUAUUUCUGUCUCUCCUGUAUAUACUCCAUACUGGAUGUGUUGAUGUUUCAUAUGCUUCUUGACUUGUAUGCGCAACAUGUGAUGUCCUGUUACACUCCGUCUUCUCCUGGAUGUGACAAUCUCGUCUUGUUAAAAUCACUCCCAAUUUUUCAGCACCAAUUAGUCAGGUCACGCUGUUUCUGCUCGUUUGCGCUCCGAGAUAAAGCAAUUCUGAUUUCAAUGCAAGCUGGAAGAAUAACCACUGUAAUGCGCUCUGUGGGCCAUUUAAAAUUAUGCAUUGUUUGUGUGGUUGGUUUGCAUAUAAAGACUGAGAAAAAGCUGACAUGAAGUUAUAUUUAGAAUGAUUAAAAUAGUGUUGUGCGACAAGAAGAGGAGACAGAUUUGGGGGAAAAAAAACAUUUGUAAGACUAUUUCUUACAAUAUUUAAAUAGUGUUGUCUUUCUUCCUCUCACUCUGGAAUUCACUUUGUGCUCAUCACUUAAAAGGACUAAAUAAAUAAAAUAAUUAUUUUUUCAUCAGAAGAUUCUCAGCUUGUCAGAUUUUGCCUGCUGGUGGUUUUUGUAGGAACAACCACACAGAGUAGUACAGAUUAAGGGAAGCAGAUGUCUUCUUCCACCCCAAAGGGCAACAUUGGCUGACAUCAGCAUGUCAUUUCAUAAGCCUCCUCUCUCUCAAGGAGAGGAGCUCAUUUCUGGAACAGCAACACAUAUUUAAGAUAUCCAGCCCACAUGAGUCGAACAGGCAUGUUGAGCGUGUAUCACUUUCAUGUAGCGGCCACAUGCUGCUUGCUGCUGCUGCCAGGUUGCUCAAAUCCCACGUUUGGAUUGUUUGCUGCAGCAGCCUUGCAGUAGGUGGAUGUUGAUAUGCUGCUGUCAAGGCAACAUGCAGCAAUUUGUUUUGCCUUGUAAUUGCAGUUCCAUACUGACAACCACCAUUUGGCUCUCUGUAUACGGUGUAGAUACAGUAUGUUCCAGUAAUAGGUCUCUGAGAUGUUUUUACGCCAUCACUCAAGAACAUCAGUGACGCUAACAGAGAAAAAAUCGACUCCUCUUCCUCCUCCUCUUCAGCUGUAAGUGAACAAACUACUGAAUGUAGCGUAAACACUGUACACCUCAAAGUCUGCGCUGUGACAUGAGCCUUUGAAGCAGCAGCGCUGUCAUCCUUUAAUCCGUUUUUUCUCCUCGCAGAGUUUUUCAGCUGUUUGCUCCUGUCAGAUAUUAAGAUAAAUUAUCCAUUAAGUAGCAUAUUAAUCAAACCAAAUAAAAAAAGCAUCUGGUAUCUCUCGCGCAAGCACGCACACACACACACAGACUCUAAAUACGCUGAACACACUAAGUACACAGAGUAACAGAGUGAGCAAUGAGGUCACACGAAUGUUUCCUCAUCUCGUCUCCACGAAAUCAGAAGACACUUGGCUCCUUUCUUUCAUCCAGUCUGUGCAGACAAAUGUCUGUAGCUUCUUUGGGCAUAAAAGCUGCCAAAACGGUGAGAGAUGCCAAACUACACUGAGAGGAAACUAUCAGCGCCCGGAAAUACAAUUUUAGGCCCUGGCCUACAUCUGUUUCACUCUCACUGAUAGAACUUCAGUAACUGACUUCAAAACACGAUAGUUUGUGAAAGACACCGCAGUGAUAUAUUAAGAGACAGGAGAGUAAUGAAACUGGUUCAAGGUUUAGGAAGUUGUCUUUUUUAGAAAUGGUUGUUUUCCUCCUCUGGUUGGUGGAGUCUUGUUCUCUUUCUCUGUAAACCCAGACUCAUUAAAGUGUACUCUUGUGUCCACUGUAAACGGCAUUUCAUCAUCACUGGCAGAAUCACAUACUUUAGGUCUGGUUGGAUGUUUGUUUCUUCCCAAGCCCGCAGACCCAAACAGCUGAUCAGGAAGGCUGUGAACUAGGACAACAACAAGCGGGCUUUCUGACAGAAAAGCAAAUUGCUAUAAAGUUUCUAAAUGGAGAAUGCGCUCACAUUGACAUCAGUGUCUGGGUCAGAGAUGGUUCAGAUUAGCUAAAUUACAUGGUAGAACAAACUCCAUCUGCAGCCAGAGAUAGUCUGGUCUCUUUUCUAGUUCUCCAGCUGGUUUCCCUACAAAGGGGCGAGGCUAAAAAAACAAUUACCUUGUUGCUGUGAUUGGCCAGACAAGGACAAGCCAUACUGCACAAAAAUGAAGUAAUUAAAACCACAUGAUGACUUACAUUUCGUGGUUUCAAAACUCUUGAGAUUUGCAGGAUGAUUAUGUGACGUUAAGUUGAAGUCUGCAGAAUUCCUAAAAUUAAAACUUACCAGAGAAGAAAAGCAUACAUGCAUUUAUACGACGCUUUAGAAGAAAAUUUCUCCACUUCCUAGUUGAUCUAUUAUUUCAGUUAUCAUCCCUGUAAAGAGUCUCAUGAUCUCAGUUACAAGUUCAGAGUGUUACUCUGGAGUCACAGUCAAAGGUGUUAAUGUUUGAAAUUAUGGUUAAGUUUGUACUAUAAUCACAAAAAGCGGUUGUGCUUAAAUCCCCAGUAGGUUACAAAAAGCACUGAAAUUAAAAGUAGCUACAAAAGCAAAGGACCUAGCAGCGUAAGACUUUUUUUUAUGGAGUAAUUUUCUACAAUGGAAACCAAGGCAGGGGGUAGAUGCUAGUCAGGGUUUUUGAAACUGCUCUGAAAAAUCUGCUUUUUUUUAAAUCCACGUUAUUUUUUCCAUAAAAGUAAAACAGGGAGAGGUUGUACUAUUAAAAAAUACUACUUCCUUCGGUUAUAUGCAAAUGAGGAUUGAUCCAUCCACCCCAUCCCCAAGUGUCAUCUAGCAGGUAUCAUCUGAUAAUACUUGAGUCUGAUGAUGGAGAAUUCGUUUUGCUGGAAAAAUCACAUCGAAUGUAACUGUAAAAAGAAAAAAUGCAGAAUAUAUUUAAUAUUUUUUGUCUAUUGACUGAGGUCUUCAAUGUUAGUAGGCAGAUUCAUCAGUUUUGUUUUUUGUUUUUUUUGACUCCUGUAAUUCUGAGUGACCUUCAGCACUCUAACACCACAUGGUAUGUACGUCUGUCUGCCACUUUAGAGUCUAGAUUGCUCUGAGAAAUCUGUUCAAAGAUUGUAGGUCAGCCACUUUAGAGACUUUCUGAAUUAGCCUUAAUAAUAUAUUCAGGUCAGCCAAACACAUCAUCACUAACCUUAACCAGAUGAACUCUUCCCAUCGAAUCUGAGAAACAGGGUCCCUUGUUUUAUUAAGGUCAGACUGAAGCACUCUUUUCUAAAACAGUCAACUCUAAAAUUGAACAUGGAGCUGAAUCACAGAUUAAAAGCAAGUUCAGGGCCUCUGAAUUUAUGCAUCUUUGUAUGUUAUAUUUUCCUUAUGGUAAAUGGAGCUGCUGAUUCAAGUCAGAUUCAGACACUGUCUGAUUACAAAGUCAUACUUACCUACUUUCCUCCUCCUUGGAUGUAACAAUAUUGGUAAUAUCAAGCUAUUGCUGGACCAAAAGUGUCUAGCUACCACAGUGGACUUGUGACAGUUUGAAAGUAUACCUCCUCCAGAUAAGAUAGUGUUGUUUCAGUUGUGGACCGUGUCCUGCAUCUCUAAAACUCAAUAACGUUUGAGCACAUCAAUACUUCAAGACUUACUGCUCCCAUAACCUUAUGCCUUGCAUCAAGCCAAAUGUAAAUCAUAUCACUGGUGCACAAACAUACAUCAGUUAUCUGAUAAAGUUCUAGACACUAGCUACUGAACCACAUAAAGAAAGAUUUGUUGCUCGCGAGGAUGAUUGAAUGUGUGAAGAGGCCUCAAGUUUGGCUUCAUAUUUUCGAAUGUCUUUGGGUUGAAAAAAGUUUUUCAACUCUUGUUCUUUCUGAAAAGUUACUACCACCUCCUUUACUCAAUCAGCUUAUGUAAUCACACCCAAACUUUAGUGGCAAGUCCUGAAAAUUCAAAAGUGUUGACAUCUGGGAUGACCUGUGAUUACAUGAUGUGUUCAAGGACCAGUUGGAAGAAUAACUAUCAGGCAAAAUAAAUAAAAUGUAAUCAUGAUGUGCUCAAAUGUUGUGUCAAAUAAAGGAAAAUAUAGAUUUUUACUAGGAACUUGAAAAACACCUUUGUUUAGGUAGUCCCAGCUCUUUUUUGAUUACGAUAAAUGUUGUAAUAUGUAAAUUCUGAAUAUUGCGAUACAUAUUGUAUUAUAGACUUAUUAUUGCUGUAUUGUAAGAUCUAUCUAUCUAUCUAUCUAUCCAUCCAUCCAUCCAUCCAUCCAAACAAAUUUAUCUAUCUAAACAAGUCUAUCUAUCUAAACAAAUCUAUGCAAAUAUGGUCAUGUCUGAUUCCAAAUCAAGAUGGCGAAGGCCAAAUUGGACAGUUCAAGUGUAUAUCGUUCCAACAAAGGAUUAAUAGUCACAAACAGCAUGGUGAAUUAUACCAAAAUAAAAAUAUCUCAGCCAGCAGGCCAAAUGAUGCCUCAUUCAGGCAAACUGUUGAUCAUUUAUUCUGAGAGCUGGAUAGCUACCAUGCCUGGUUACAUGGCUUGCGCCUAAGGCAUCAGAACAGGACUUACCCUUUAAGCUCAAUUUUUUGACCCCAGUCUUUUGGUCUACAGUUCUGCGGCCUCUCCUCUGUGUGUGUCCACCUCUUAAUAUGUGUAACAGGUGUUAUUAUAGACAACAGCAGUGGAGUGAGAAACCAUCUGUUUUACAGCUUGUUCGUGGUCUGUUUAACCUGGGUGUCCUCUCUUAGAACUAUUCUCCCUGAGCAGGGCUUUGCUUAAAAGGGGAAAUUUGCACUUGUGGCUAAAUAGGCCUGAAAAUCAGAGCAUCUGGCGUGGCUAUCAGUGUUUGGUUUUAAAUACAAUGGUUUACUUUGAGGGCUGUUUAUAUACAGCUUCUGUGCAGUGUUGAUUUCUGUAUUCAGUGUGUUGUCCUUAAAGUCCCGGGGGAGUUAGGUUGCAGUGUCGGCCACAUCUGGAGCAUCUUGGUGUAUAGCAUAUAAAAGAGCUGCUCUCUUUUCACUGCCAGUGCCUCAGACCCUCUUUUGCAUUUCUUUUCUCUUUUCUUUUCUUUCUUGGACUUUACGUAUUUUUAUUUACAAUUCUGAUGCUGCAGACAAACACCUGCAUUUAAAUGUAACUACAUUCAAAUGUACAUCUGUAUAUUUUCUUUACUACAGCAAAUAACUAGUUUGGCUUGCAGAAUUUUCCCUACGGUUAUACUGAUAUAAACAAAAGAGUGUGCUGCUAACAUAGCAUCUACAUAUUUUGGCUGGUUUAGAAUACUCUUGGCUUCAGAAUGAUGGAUCCUGCAUGCCUUCUCGGUGAUGUUGGAGCAAUAUUCAGAAAAUACAACCGUCCCUUUAAGGGAUUUCUCUAACAACCUGACAAGGUACUCUGUGCAAGUAAACAAAGAAAACUUGUGCCAAAAUGGACCUACUAGAGUAGUAAUUCUGCCUUAAAGGAGAAUAAGUUGCUGUGCGGUAUUUUAAAGUUUGAUAAGCCUGUAUGCUGGAAUGUGUAAGUCUUGACCUGAACUGUGUUGCGGUGCCUUCAGCAGUUGUUAAGUUGGUAUCAUGCUUUGAAAGAGUGUUGAAAGAGCUCUUUCACUAACUAUGCUUUGAAUGGUUUGAAUUAAAAAAAAGUCAGACUCUGUUAUGAUAACACAAAAGCUCUGAAAUACCACCAGCAUUUACAGGUUGUACAAUGCUUUCUGCAGAAAAUAUGUUACCGCCUUUUACUCACAGAAAACUGAAAAUUUCAGCAUGAAAGUUUUUCUGUCCUUAUUUGUGAGUUUUAAAAACUUUCUCUGCAGCAAAAAAAGCAGAAGAUGGUAAUGUUGAAUUGGCGUAAAGGAGAUUAUUGUUCAGAUAGGUACAGUUUUACCUCACUGAGGAACUUUGAACCUAAGUGAAAUUGAAAGUUAUUAGUAAUCCUGUUCCAACAAAAAGUAAGAACAUACCAGACAAAGUCACAUUGAGUUUGUUAUAAUGGGAAAAGCUGCGGGUUCAGUCAUAAUCAACAGAAAGUUGGACAGGUUGUGCUUGUGUUUUUAUUUUCAUUUUUUGACUUAUUUUGGUUGACUGUUAAAUAGUCAAUGUGCAAAGUAUGUUGUUUGAGGUCUUAUCAGUGUGUUUCUCUGCUUACAUUAGGACUUCUUUUUUUUAUUUUAUUAUUUGUGUUUACCUUAUCAGAACAAUUUUGGAGGACAAUAGUUUGAGAGAAUUUACCCAAAGAGGACAAUAAACUGUAUCUGUCAAAUCAUACUAAACCGUAUCCUUACACUGUCAGUUCGUUAUCAUAUCAAUCAGGUCUUGUUGUGUCAUAUCUUGUUAUAUUGUACCAUAUCCUGCUGUUGUUGAUCACGUAUCAUAUCAUUUCUUAUGGUUCUGUAUUUCAUUGUAUCAAAACGUCCUUUCAUAUCUCGUUGAAUCGAAUCGCAACAUAUUGAAUCAGUUGAAAACGCUUUUCUGGUCCGAGUUUGAUUCAUGAUAAAUACGAGGAAUGUUACAGAGAUGAUCAGUCAGCCUUUAGUCGGUGUGAAGAGCAGUAGCCUACAGUAUAUCGAGUGUUACUCAUUUUUUAUGAUGUACGUGAGUUAGCUUUAUCUUUAUUUAUUUAUACAGGCUACUUAUUUAAGAGGAUGACGAUUGUGUGAGUUUGACAAGACGGAGGUUGACAAAAUAAUCAGACCCAUACCCGCUACAGUCUGAAUAAUAAGCUGAAAAUAAUUCGUUUAUCAUCUUUUUUACAGUUAAAAUAAAUAGCCAGGGGUGUGGUGUAAGUCAUAUUGUGGAAACACAACUAAAAAAAAAGGGUGAAUGUAGGCUAUGAGUUUGAAAAUGGCCCUUAUAAACCUAGACAGAUUCUUCUAAACAAUGCAUAUUUAAUGCAUACUUGCUGUUCUCUCAUUUUUUUUCUUCUUGUUGUUGUUUUUACAGAUGUCAAAAGAAAGUGAGCGUAGCAAGGUGUGGGACCACUUCACCUUGAGCAAAAGAGUUGGAGGUUAACUGUUUUCACUUUACAGAAAAUACCUCAGUCUUUUUCAGUUCUUUUAGCAAUAAAAAGGAUUUGAAAUGA